rnacentral:lncRNA from 1 species
GUGAAAAAAUACCUUGGCCUCCCUGAGCUCUUUGGUAGGAAGAAGAGAGACCUCUUCUCGUCUAUAGACAACCGCAUUAAACAGAAAGCUAUCAGCUGGUCGACUCGCUAAUUGUCUCCAGCAGGGAAAUUCACUAUGCUGAAGUCAGUCCUCACUGCCACUCCCACCUUCGCUAUGCCAUGCUUCUUAUUACCUGUAGGUCUCUGCAACCAAAUACAGCCAGCUCUCAUCAGAUUCUGGUGGGAUCCAAAUGAAUAAAAAAAGGGAUAUGUUGGGUUUCAUAGGACAAACUGACUGAAUCUAAAUAUGGUGGAGGUUUGGGUAUAAAAGACAUUCAACAAUUCAACAAAGCCCUACUGGGCAAGCUAUCUUAGAGGAUCCUUACCAAUCCUAAUUGUCUGCUAGCCAGGAUUUUGCUAGGAAAGUAUUGCCACGCAAACGCCUUCCUGAAAGUAUCAUGUAGCUCCUCGCCUUCGCAUGGCUGGAGAGGGAUACUUGAAGGCAGAGACAUUCUCAUCCAACACUUAGGCAUAGUGAUCAGAAAUGACAACUCUACAAAGCUAUGACAUGACCCAUGGCUGUUUGUAUCGAUGCCAAAAGCAGCAAUAGGACCAACAACCGUAGACGCAAAGGACCUAAUGGUUGCAGAUGUACUCUCCAGAGAAACAUGAAUUUGGAACAGAUAAGCUCUUGAAAUGCAAUUCCCUACUCUGGUAGAAGAAAUUAUACUCCUCCGCCCGAGUACUAUAGGAGCUGAAGACUCGUACUCCCGGCUACUCGACAAAUCGGGUACGUAUACUUCAAAAUCUGGAUACCUAUCACAACGAUUGCACACAACAGCUUUGCCCGCAAACUAUACGGUUCCAACAAACUUCAACUGGAAUAAAAUGAUAUGGAAGGCGCAACUACUCCAGAAAAUCCAACUCUUCCUUUGGAAAGUAAUGCAGAACGCGGUACCUACAAGUGAGAACCUUCAGAAAAAAAGGCCUACUUGAAAACACUAAUUGUAUUAGGUGUGGGGAACGAGAGACUACCAUUCAUCUCUUUUUCCACUGCCAUUUUGCUCAACGAGUAUGGGAACUGGCACCAUGGUCCUCACCAGCUAAUCUCACCCAAGCUCUUUCCUUUGGAGAAAAAUUGGUGGCUUCAUAUCAACGCAUUAACCUACCACCAGUAGGUACAAAUAUCAAUCUAUUCCCUUGGAUAGUGUGGAAUCUGCGGAUUGUUAGGAACCAACUACUCUUCGAGAACAUGACUUUCUCCCUACAAGACUGUUUAAGCAAAUCAGUGAUCACAGCAAGAGAAUGGACGACAGCUCAGGAUUCACAACCAAAAAUCACCCCCCUGCCAAAUCACGUGACAGCGUCUCUUGCGAUUUCACCAACAACGCUCUUGCCGACAACCCUAAUCUGCAAUACAGACGCAGCGUGGAGAUGAGAUACAAAAUCAGCAGGAUUAGGGUGGCUCUUCACUGAUCAGAAUCUCACAGAGAUCGGGAGAGGCUCCCAAUUCCAAGACCAAGUCUCUUCAGCUCUCCUCGCGGAGGGGUUUGCCGUUUGCGCUGCUCUUCUACGUGCAGUAUCAUCCGGGUACACCAACAUCUGGCUAAGAUCAGACUCUCAAGUGCUUGUAAAAGCAAUCAAUCUGAAACAUUGUCCGUCGGAGCUCUACGGGACUUUGACCGACAUUGCUUCAAUUUCAGCUUCUUCAUUUGCUUCAUGUCGUUUCUCUUAUGUUUCUAGACUUCAAAAUGGGUCUGCAGACCUCAUUGCUAAGGCAUGUUUUAGCAAUGGGCUUAAUGGACUCUAAACUCUAAAUUUCUUUCUAAUCUAAUCAGUUGAACAAAAAAAAUACACGGUUUUGAAUUUUCUUGUCUAAUAACAUUGUAAAUGAUAACAAAACAAUAAUGUGAACGUUUCCAGGAAUGAAAAAUCAGAUAAAGAGGAAUUGAAAUCAAGAAAAGAGAAGAGAUUACAUAAGGAGAAUCUUUAUUUUAUUAAGAACACUCAAAGAUAUUACAAGGGAUUCAAGGGACUCUUUAGGAUUCAACUCUCUCAACUUACUUAGCUUUGUGGUUGUACCUACAUGGAGACGAGACUAGCCUUGUACAUAAUGAUGUAUGCCAUAUGCCAAUCACUUCCUAGAGAAAGUUUAGUGAUAUGCUCUUCGCGUUGAAAGCUCGUGUAGUCGUGUUAUCAUCGUCGUAUUGACCCCACUUACCUGUUAAACAUGUGUUAGAGGUGUUUUAAGUUUGAAAAUAACAAGUAUGUGAGCGUUUGUAAGCCUUUUUCAAAAAAAAAAAAAAAGUAUGUGAGCGUUGACAUAUAGUAAUUCUGUGUGUGUUUAUAUAUGUGUUAAUUGUUAUAAUGGAAAGACCACUCUCUUGCUUGACCCAUGCAACCUAAUGCCUAGAGUCUGCGCUUAUGCCUUUGUUGAUCAACACUGAGAUGAGAUCAUAGAUUUCGGUCAUGUUAGAUGAAGCACCUACAUAGGCAAAAGUGCUUUACUUGUUUGGAAAUGAUAACAAUCAUCAGAGAUUCCGCUAGCUAAAGAGUAACAACACACAUACUCGUGAUUACUUUCAUUGAUUAGGGAUUUAUUUGCAAGUGGCCUUCUCUCUAUUAUUUUACAAAAUUCUCUAUGUCAGUGACUCACAAGGAAACUUUUGACUCCAACAUAUAGAACUAUUACAGCACAUUCCAAGCUGGAUGAGAAAGAUAUUCAGAAGGGGUUCUUUAGGUGAAUAUACCUCAUUGGUUGCCUGUGGAAAUUUUAGCUUUCUGAUUACUCUCUCUUUUCCAGAAGAAUCUCACAAACUGAACAGUCUAGUAACAGUUUAGAAGUAGCAAUAAGUUCAAAAUUUUCUCUGGAACAUGUUGGUCAUAAAGCCUAUAAAAAAGGACUGAAGGGAACCAAGUAGUGCAGAAAUGAUAACCAGAGGCUAAUCAACUUGGAAAGGAAUCUAUAAGAGACUCCUUAAUGUAAACCGCUAGUACAGCCCAGAUCGAGUUCUCCUUUCAGUCCUUACAACAACUAUAAGAAUUGGAACUCUUUAUCAUAGAACUGUCUAAAAUAUAACGCCAAAUAGACAACAGUGGGAAACAUGAAACAUUUUGUAUAGUAAAAAAACCGAAUAGGAUUAUAAGAUAAUGGACCGCAAGUUUCAUAUCUCUAGGUUUCAUGUAAAGAAGUUAAACUGUCAAAUAUUACCUUGUCGAACAGGCCUUUCACAUACAUGCCUACACACUAUAACAAGUGCAACAAUUUUUUUGAUCAAUUCCAAGCAUCUCAGGUAUUGCUCUCUGUUUAAAGAUACUGCAUUCUUGUUGACAGAUCAACUGAGACCAAAAAAAAAGAAAGGAAAAAAAUAAUAAGCAUUUGAUAUGAUACUUCCUUAGAACCAACGACAUCACAUUCCUGUUGAUCAUAGCUGGGGCUUUAAGCCAAUUGUGUUAAUCAAAGUUAUUCCCUAGUUUCCAUUGAAACACGGGGAAAGUUAACUUGAAUGCAAAAAGUUCCUCAUUUGAUCAAGAAUAAGUAAAAGAAGCAGAUGAUGUUGAUUGUUGAGCAUUACAAGAACAUAGACUAACCAUCCAGAACGACAUAGGUGCAACAGACUUGACACUUUUUGUAAUGCCAACUAAGAUAAGUUAACUUGAAUGCAAAAAGUUCCUCAUUUGAUUAAGAAUAAGUAAAAGAAGCAGAUGAUGUUGAUUGUUGAGCAUUACAUGAACAUAGACUAACCAUCCAGAACGACAUAGGUGCAACAUACUUGACAUUUUUAUCGAGCUCACUAAAUAUCUCACUUGUUCCAACCGCACGUGAGCAUGUGAGAAGUCUGAUCCACAUCCUCAGUCGAGCAGAUUAAUAACUAGUGAGACAAGACCAAGAAGGUUAACACCCUUUUUCUUUAAUAUGUCAAGCCUCCAUGUGGGAACCGAAAUUCGCACCGUCGAUUUCCGUUUAAAUUAGGAAACUAGGAAAAUCCUAAUUUCCCAGAGGUCCCGGAUCUCUGCGAGAGCCAACGGCAAGUGACCAAAUAUAUGCGGAAAUCAUGAAAAGAUAACAAACGAGUUUAGAAAAAACAGUAGAUCUUAUUUCGAGUCCGCGUAAGAGCGUUUCGAUCAUUACAAGAAAUCAUAAAAGCUUUGGCCGCAAAGGCUGUCAGCGAGUUACCUAGUUCUAGCGGCCUAAAAGCUCAAACCUAGUUGAGUCGCAGCUCGAUAACAAAAGACAAAAAAAGUACAUGAGAGGUUUUUGAUUGAUUUCGGACUGAACCUUAUGAAAGGCUGCCUACGUACCCCUUUCGAGGAUCAAGCCGAAUGUAGUUCAAGAGUGAACCAAGAGAUCAAACUUCUUGUGCGCGUUCGUCUGGUAAUCGGGUGCCAGUCAUGGAACCCGAGCAUGUCGAGAAUAAUGCCUCAGAGUUUCUAAGUGCCCAGAGUUCUGCCUCAGAGUUUCUCAGUCUAAAAAGUACUCCCCCGUGCCUCUCGCCUAGGACUCCUUAUAUACUCGCUCCUAGGUCGGUUUACGCUUUUUCCUCUUCUGCCCUUAAGCCGUCAUAACUUAAAAAUGGAGAUAUUCCGUUUUUCCCGAUCUUUCUAAUUAUCUUCGAAUACUUCGUAUUUAUCCGCGGAAACUUGACAUUUAUCUUUCCUUGCGAACAGAGCAUAAACCGUCCUACGGUUUAUGGGCUUUUGGUUAAGAAAUCGUAAAUGGGUUUUGAGUCACGUCUUAGGUCUCUUUGGGCCGUUGUUUAACUCGAAACGUUUAUUACGGCUUCUUUCGAUAAAAACGAACUUUCCGCGGUUUUUAUCGUAAAGUUAGAUUGAUGACUUCAAAUGACGAGAAACAUGAAAUGGGUUGGCUACGGUCUUCGGAAGAUAGCAUUAAAGAGUAGACGAGAAUGCAUGGAUUCGUGUCGUAUCGAUUUUUAAGAAAGCACGGUCGCUACGUAGCGAUCGAGUCGUGUGCGUGCUCGGUCGCUAAGUAGCGACCGAGCUUCGGGGAGAGCUCGGUCGCUACGUAGCGAUCGAGACGUGUACGUGCUCGGUCACUAAGAGAGCUCGGUCGCUACGUAGCCACCGAGCUUCGGAGAGAGCUCAGUCGCUACGUAGCGACCGAGCCGUGUACGUGCUCGGUCGCUACGAAACGACUGAGCCGUGUACGUGCUCAGUCGCUAAGUAGCGACCGAGCUUCGAGGAGAGCUCGAUCGCUACAUAGCGACCGAGCCGUGUACGUGCUCGGUCGCUACGUAGUGACCAAGCUUCGGUGAGAGCUCGGUCGCUAUGUAGUGACCGAACCGUGUACGUGCUUGGUCGCUACGUAGCGACCGAGCUUUGGUGAGAGCUCGGUCGCUACGUAGCGACCAGUUUUACGCUGGUUGCUACGUGGCAACCUUGUUCGCGUCUUUCUCCGAUUUUUCGUGAAUGUGUUUUCUCCGCAAGAUUCUUCGUAAAAAUAAAUCUUUUUCUAAGAUUUAUAUUUCGUAAAAACGUUCAUGCCGAUUUUUACGGACUUUCAGACAUUGAUUCUGUCGUGACCGAUUUUGACCCCAACAGUUAGCCCCCCAGCUCGUUAGAACCAUGAGCUUCUAGCGUGAGGUUUUAGCGAGUGGCUUGGCAAGUUAGGUGAGUUAGGCGGAAUUAAUGAUCGAAAAGGUCCGUGGUAAGUGGUCUUCUUGCUCUUCUAAAAGUAGAACGCGAUAAGAUUGGGGCUGCGCCUUAUGACGGCUGCCUACGUAUCCUUGUUGAAGGGAUCAAGGCUUUCAUAGUUCGUCUUGGAGUUAAGGUUAGUAUGACUAGUUUUCCAGCGAGACCUUUACGGUCUGGUUUUUAUGUAGAGGUUAUCAGGCGUGUUGCUGCCGAUGGCAUUUUAUAUGAGUGUAGAAGGAAGACUACGAGUUGUCAUCUCGUAAUCUAAUUCUGUGUGAACUACUAUAUCCGUGAUCUGUUUCGAGAGUUUUCCGAAGUGUGUAAACUUGCGGGAUUUCUGAAGACGCUCGAAUAUUGGCAAAGAGACAAAUUUUCGGAUCUCGUAUCAAGGUUUUUGAUACUAUGCCUAGAGAUGUUAGAGACCAGUGCGCUGAGUUUAGGGCAAGACCUAGGUUUACUCCUGGUUUUAGAGGGUGCGAUGACUAAUUCGACUUACGUAUCCCGUUUCAGUUUCAUCCUGAUUCCAUACCGAUUUAAAGUCUGUGAUAGGUUCUCGGCUUAUACGACUUGUAUGGUUGGAACCGAACAUCUCUCCAAGGACAAUUUUUAAGCCUCCUGGAAGUGCUGACCAAAAAUUUUGGGUUUCUUUUAUAGCGCUAUUAUCCUUGUGUCGGAUGUACGAGAGUCAUAUCUACGAGAUGGCUAAGUCUGUUUAGGACGUUAAGAGUUUGUUGUGAUCAGCAACAAACUUAGUGGUUAAAAUUACCGUUUCGAGUCUUCGCGAAGGAUAUGUUUUGAGAAGAUGUUAGUGCGUAUGAGUGUCUGGUCUUCCAAUAAAGUUUUUUUAUCAAGGAAGGAAAUUUCGUCGAAGAACGAAUCUUCCGGCGUCUGCGACGUCUCGCGAUGAUGAAGAUUUGUUAUUCUUUCGUAUGCCGCGUUUCGUGCUUGAAAUGUUCGCGGGCUUGAAGAUGUUUCUCGAUGUUGCAAGGGAUUAGUCUUAGCCUGCGUUUGGGAAACAUUCUGGUUUGACUACGGAUGUUCGCAGCCAGAAUUGUUGUUCCUGUUUGGAUUUGAUUUGCGACCGAGGAGUUAGGACCAAGGGGUCGCGUAAAUUUGUCCCCGGAAAGAGGCAUCCUCGUAUACCGUGCUUUGUGUGGUGUUGGCCUUCCGAGAUUUCUUUCGUGUCUAUUUGAGGAUGUUCCGUAUAGCUAUAGGAGCUCUGUUAAGAGUUUUCCUUACAUGCCGCAUUUUAUGAGUAAAACACAGCGGGCUUAAAGUGAAUCGUAGUAUAUGGAACUUGGUCGAUUUUUGACAAGUGGAACAUUUCCGUUAACUGUUUGGUUGUUAGGACUGAAUUUUGUUAUGACGAAUUUACCGUAUGAUUCCCGUUUUUGGGUGGUAAGAUAAUUGUUUGUGUUAUCGUUACUUGGCGUUUCAAGACAAAUUCCGGAUUACCGUUUAGCCGUCAAGUUAUUGGAGCGGUGGUUGCUCAAUUGUUUUGGCUUUGCAUGAAGGCUGUGCUCAGCUUUAUAGCCAAGGACGUUGUUACCAAAGGAUUAGCCCAUGACACUUUCGUGCUGUCAAUAAGGUCAAGUCGGUUAGAUUCGUCCUUAAAGGGGAUGAUGUAACCUAGUUCGGCUUCGAAGGAAAGGCGUAAUUGGGCGAUUGACGAAUGGCGUUUAUCGAGAUUGAUAGGCCGAGUAUGCCCAUGGUGGUAGAAAACGUUUUUCCACUUUAGGGUUAAUUUAUACGAUGAAAGUUUCGUAUAAUGUUUCCUUUAUUCGUAUGGAAGUUGUUUCCUUUGUUUCCUAGGGAGAUAAAGCCUAAGAAGCUCGAUACAGAGCCCGUGCGGAGUCAGUUGCGGGGUGAUUUCCUCCUCGGACGUGACCAAGCGGAAUGAGAGCGGAUGCCAGUGAGUCGCGGGGCUAAAGAAUGAGACCUUUCAGAUCGUGGUGCGAGGAAGUAAAGUUUAUAUUGGUUGUCCAAUGUCGGAUCAUACAGCUUGGUUUUUUGCUAUAAGGAAAGUAAUUUUUCGUAAAACCUGUUACGUUUACUUUCGAAAGUUACUUCAUAUGACAUGAUCUGAUCAUACGAAAGAUUUUUUGCGUAAGUAACGGGCGACUGGUUUUUACAAAUUUAUUAAAUUGACGCGACAUAUGGGGAUGUCAAAAUAACGAUGUUUCUGCAGAUUUUUGAAAAAUGUUUUCGCUUUUUUUUUUUUAUUCUUCGGUGAAAAUUUCUCUGAGUCACUCAUGGAGUUUUACCAAAGGUUAUUUCACCGAGAUCUAGUCGCAAAACGUUUUUGCAGGUUUCUUGAAUGAAUCAGUUAAACAGCGAUAGACUUAGUCGACGAGCGGGGAGGACGUGUUCUCUUUGUCGUAUUUUCUAUUACUUUUGUUCUUGAUUUUGCUUUGUCGCAAAUGUUUUUGAUGUUUUUUCGUGUAUUUCUACGAGAGUUUGCUUUGUCGAAAGCGUUUUCUUGUCGAAAGCGUUUUCUUGAUCUUGACGAGACAUCGCAUUGUUUGAAUAUGUUUUUGAAGUAUGGGAGUAUACGAGUAUAGUAUACGCACCUACUCCGUCCGUUUUUUCUCGAGGAAUAGAAUGAUCGACAGUCCGAGUCGGUUUGAAGACGACGCUUGGACUGUGAUUUGGUUGUUUCCAGGUUGAAGACUUGGAAUAUGUCGGUUCCGAGAGAAUUGCCAGAAACGAAUCGGUUUUAUGACGACGUUCAUGUCUCUAGUUUUUUCUCUCUUUAGGAAGCGAGCUUGAUAUGCGUGGCGAUCGUUUCUAGAUUUUCGGAAAGUUUAGAUCGGUUUGCAAGAUCUGGACGAACAGUUAUGGGACAAUAUAUCGAGACAGGAAAAAUCACCUGAGACUUAGUUCGCUAGACUAUCCCCCUAGAUUUUACGUUCCCUAAAGUUCUAUGGCAGUCUCAAAGGCGUUUUUAUUUCUUAGUAGUUUCCUACGAAAACUCCAAGUCUGAUUUCAAAAAUUUCAAGUCGCAAAUACCUUAGUUCUCUCGAAGAUGCAGUUUUGUCUCCUCUCAGUUUUGCUUGCUCAUUUCCCCUUCCUCUUCUUGUGUAUGUUCGCUUUUUUCGAUAUUGGUGUUUAUCCUUUGAGACUUGACAUUUAUCUUCCGAACUUGACUGAUACGAAGUCAAUAAAAAGGUUCCACGUAAUCGUAUAGUUGAGGCGGCUAAGGUGUUAAGUUAACCGUUGCCGUAUUAUACGAUUAAUUUGAAUCCACGCGAGAAAACUAGUCUUUGCGGGGGUUUUUUUUUUUUUUUUUAUCGUAAAGUUUCAAUGGUAACUCCAAUCGAGACGAAACAAGAGACGUUUCGAUCGAGAUUUGAAGGAGAACACAAAGAUGGAGGUAAGGGAGAGUAGGAGCAAGCGAAGGAGUUUAGACGAGUCUUACUUUUUUUUGCCGUAAAAUCUCAACGGAAACUCCGAUUGAGACGAAACGAAAAGCGUUUAGGCCUGAAAGGUCGCUAUGUAGCGAUCUGGAGGCGUGACAGGUCGCUACGUAGCGAGUGGAAGCAAGCCAAGAAGAGUCCUACUUGUUUUCGUCGUAAAAUCUCAACGGAAACUCCGAUUGAGACGAAACGAAAAGCGUUACGAUGAGGAUUCAAAAGAGAACGCAAAGGAGGACCCUUUUUAGGCCUGACAGGUCGCUACAUAGCAAGCUGUGUGCGUGCUCGGUCGCUACGUAGCGACCGAGCUGUGUGCGUGCUCGGUCGCUACGUAGCGACCAAGCUGUGUGCGUGCUCGGUCGCUACGUAGCGACUGAGCUAUGUGCGUGCUCGGUCGCUACGUAUCGACCGAGCUUGGCUGGAGCUCGGUCAUUACGUCGCGACCGAGCUAUGUUCUUGCUCGGUCGUUACGUAGCGAUCGAGCUUGGCUUGAGCUUGGUCGCUACGUAACAACCGAGCCAUGUGCUUGCUCGGUCGCUACGUAGCGACCGAGCUGUGUAAUCGAUUUGUUGCGCUUUCUUUUUCCGCGAUUAACCUAGGGGUUUUCUGCGGUUUUUGGGAGAACAAGGUUUACCCUUCCGAAAUAUUUUCGGAAAACGUGUUUUGGUAUAACCCUUAUGCAUUGAGAUUUCUUUUGUUCGGUAAUGAGCCAAACUUACGGGGUUUGAUAAGAUUUAUCGUUUUCCUUUAUGUUUAAAAAGAGAAAUCGUGAGCUCGUUUCGUUGCACUUUCUGUGGCGAAAAGUCGCAGCAAGGUUUUCGAUUUUCUCAAGAACUGUGGCGUUUGCAUAGGCGUUGGCCAUAAGCGCAGUGGCGGCUGGAGUUUUCUUACCAGCGUUGUUGCGAACUGUGAUUUUCUCUUUCGUAUUUCCAGACAUUGUUUUGAUCAAGCGUUUUGCGGCUAUGAGUUAUAGUAAUCCGUACCCCCCUCCUUCUAGCGCCAAACUGUGGGAACCGAAAUUCGCACCGUCGAUUUCUGUUUAAAUUAGGAAACUAGGAAAAUCCUAAUUUCCAAGAGGUCCCGGAUCUCUGCGAGAGCCAACGGCAAGUGACCAAAUAUAUGCGGAAAUCAUGAAAAGAUAACAAACGAGUUUAGAGAAAACAGUAGAUCUUAUUUUGAGUCCGCGUAAGAGUGUUUCGAUCAUUACAAGAGAUCAUAAAAGCUUUGGCCGCAAAGGCUGUCAGCGAGUUACCAAGUUCUAGCGGCCUAAAAGCUCAAACCUAGUUGAGUCACAGCUCGAUAAUAAAAGACGAAGAAAAUACAUGAAAGGUUUUUGAUUGAUUUCGGACUGAACCUUAUGAAAGGCUGCCUACGUACUCCUUUCGAGGAUCAAGCCGAACGUAGUUCAAGAGUGAACCAAAAGAUCGAACUGCUUGUGCGCGUUCGUCUGGUAAUCGGGUGCCAGUCAUGGAAACAGAGCAUGUCGAGAAUAAUGCCUCAGAGUUUCUAAGUGCCCAGAGUUAUGCCUCAGAGUUUCUCAGUCUAAAAAGUUCUCCCCCGUGCCUCUCGCCUAGGACUCCUUAUAUACUCGCUCCUAGGUCGGUUUACGCUUUUUUCUCUUCUGCCCUUAAGCCGUCAUAACUUAAAAAUGGAGAUAUUCCAUUUUUCCCGAUCUUUUUAAUUAUCUUCGAAUACUUCGUAUUUAUCCGCGGAAACUUGACAUUUAUCUUUCCUUGCGAACGGAUCAUAAACCGUCCUACGGUUUAUGGGCUUUUGGUUAAAAAUCGUAAGGUGGUUUCGAGUCACGUCUUAGGUCUCUUUGGGCCGUUGUUUGACUCGAAACGUUUAUUACGGCUUCUUUCGAUAAAAACGAACUUUCCGCGGUUUUUAUCGUAAAGUUCGAUUGAUGACUUCAAAUGACGAGAAACAUGAAAUGGGUUGGCUACGGUCUUCGGGAGAUAGCAUUAAAGAGUAGACGAGAAUGCAUGGAUUCGUUUCGUAUCGAUUUAUAAGAAAGCACUGUCGUUACGUAGCCACCGAGCUUCGGGGAGAGCUCGGUCGCUACGUAGCGACCAAGCUUCGGGGUGAGCUCGGUCGCUACGUAGCGACCGAGCACGCACACAGCUUGCUAUGUAGCGACCUGUCAGGCCUAAAAAGGGUCCUCCUUUGCGUUCUCUUUUGAAUCCUCAGCCGUGUACGUGCUUGGUCGCUACGUAGCGACCGAGCCGUGUACGUGCUUGGUUGCUAUGUAGGGACCGAGCUUCGGUGAGAGCUCGGUCCGUGCUCGGUCGCUACGUAGCGACCAAGCUUCGGUGAGAGCGCGGUCGCUACGUAGCGACCGAGCCAUGUACGUGCUUGGUCGCUACGUAGCGACCGAGCUUUGGUGUGAGCUCGGUCGCUACGUAGCGACCAGCUUUUGCGCUGGUUGCUACGCGGCAACCUUGUUCGCGUCUUUCUCCGAUUUUUCGUGAAUGUGUUUUCUCCGCAAGAUUCUUCGUAAAAAUAAAUCUUUUUCUAAGAUUUAUUUUUCGUAAAAACGUUCAUGCUGAUUUUUACGGACUUUCAGAUAUUGAUUCCGUCGUGACCGAUUUUGACCCCAACACUCCACGUGACCGUGGUGGAUCCAACAGAGAAAUUAUGUGGGGUCAUAAGUUGUGAUUUUCUUCUUUUUUUUUAAAUAGAAGAGGUUGAACCCUUUCUAACACUUUGCCAUAGUUACUUAAUAAACAAUAGCCUAGAAACUUAAAUUUAUAAGAUUUUUAUGGUGUCAGUUGACCCCACGUCCACUAAGGCUAGGUGGGUACGGACCGGACAGUUCGGGUCGUCCGCUAAGCUUCAUAGACCUAAAGCCAAAAACGGUGGCGUUUUGAACGAAAUACAUAACGGUAAACGUAUUUUUUCUUCUAAUAAAACAAAGAAGAACAGAAGAAGCCUCCUUGGGUCCCUCUCUUUCUCUAUCCUCUAAAUUAGUAAUCUAUCUAUAAGCGGGUACGUGGAAGUAUAUGGAAGUGCAGAAGCGAAAUUUUUAAAAAAAAUUAGUAAACGAGUACGUGUUGAAAGCGUAUCCAAUAUAUAUAUAUAUAUAUAUAUAAAUCAUUUAUUUAUUUAUAAUAAUUUUGAAAUGAUUUCAUAAUAAAACUGUGAAAAUACACAUAAAUUAAAUUUAAAAUAAAUUAUUAUAUUAAUUAUUUUUAAUACUUUAUAAUUAAUUGACAUAAUAUAUUUGAAUAUAUAAUUUAUCUUUAAUAAAAACCUCAAUGCAUAAAGAUAUUUUAUAGUACUAAUUUUAUAUUUUUAUAUUUCUAUUUUUUUAUUUAAUACUAUUACAAUUUUGAUUUUAUAUAAAUUAAAAAAGAAAAAUUCUCUAGGAUAGUUUUUUUUAAGUUUUUGUCACAAAAAUAGUAUUCAAUGAAGAAAAUGAUCAAAAUAAGUUUUAUUAAAGGGUAAAAAUGUGUUUUUACUCUAAGGUUAACUAAUCUAAACUUAAGGUUUAGAGUAAAAGUGUGGAGUUUUGGGGAUAGAAUUUCAAAAUUUUAUAAAUUAAAAAUUAAAAUUAAAAUUUUCAAAAUAAAAAUGGUUAUUUUGAUCAUUUUCUUUCUUGAGAGCUAUUUUAUGACAAACUAUUUGAGAGAAUUGCCCAACUAAAAAUUAUAUUUUUAUAUUUUUAUUGAUGUAAGACGUUGCAUUUUUUUUUAAGAAUGAAAAUUCAUUCCAAAACUGAAUCGUAAGCUUCCAAUGUAGAAUAUUUUAGAAGCUUUUUGGAAGAAGAAUCUCUAAGCUUCCAUAAGGUUCCAUUCCUAUUCCAGUUCUGAAGCUGAAAGCUACAUCAGAUGAAGCUUUCUUGCAACAUAGGUAAUCAUCGUCUCCUCUCUCUUCUCAUUGCUCUGCGCGUCUCAAUCAGUUAAACCUAUACACACGCUCAUACAUGGUACUAACGAAAUUGCAGUGACGGAGGCGCAAUGAUGUACGGAGGCGCGUCGAAACUCUGUCGCGGUAGGGGUGGAGGAGGAGGCGGCGGCGUCGGACCGGGCCGAAACCGCAAUUCCUUCCCUCUUCUUACGAACCGGCAUCCUUCUCCCGGUCGGGAGGAUGUCCUCCGGAGGUGGUGGCUCCUCCUCCGCCGCCUCAAGGCAGAGGAACAAAACCAGCGCCAAGGCGGCCGCCGCUACGCUAGAGGAAACCUUUAGCCUAGUUCCGAGGGAGAGUAUUUCAGCUUUUGGAAUGAUCAUACGGUUAGCUCCUGACUUGGUGGAGGAGAUCAAGCGCGUGGAGGCACAAGGUGGAAGAUCGAUGCGUUUCCUAACAAUACCACUAGGAAUGUUAGUCUCAUACUUAGAGAAAGAGGAUAACCCUAGUUUUGAGUUGAAUUGCAUUCUUUCAUUGAGUGAAUCUUGAAUUUGAUUGCUUCGGUAGUUUACACUUAUAUUGCUCUUUGUGCCAUUGAACAUUUUGACAAUUCAUUUCAAUGGACGAACCCUAGAUUAGUGAAAUUGGGGAAAAUAUCUGAUAUAGAAAGUAGAUGGUAAUGUAAUACUCGACAAUAAUAUGAUUUAGUUUCAGGCAUCUCUAUUAAGAUUUACUUGCUUCUUGGUUGAGAAUGUAUUUAUUGGUUGGUUAGUUUCUACUCAUUGAAGUGCUGCUUUAAUGGUCUCUUCAAAAACACCUACCUACUAGUGGCUGUCAAUUGGAUAUAUUAACAUCUCCUGCAUACCUUUUUGUCAUUAUAUUUCCCACUGCAUCUGGGUUUUGUUGUUUUCAUCGAAGUUGUUGUUAUCAGUUCACAUUAUGUCUUUUCUUCACGUGUCAUUUUUGUUUUUUGUUUUUAAAUUUGACGGCUUAUAUUUUGACACUGUCCAGCUGAUUUUGAUUUUGAUUUGAACAGAUAAUUAUUGUUGGUGGAAAGGAGUUCAAAUUUACCUGGUCUAGGGAGCGUGGUGACUUAUGUGAUAUAUAUGAGGAACACCAAAGUGGUGAAGAUGGAGAAGGUUUGCUGAUUGAGUCUGGAUGUGCUUGGCGGAAAUUAAACGUCCAGCGAACUCUAGAUGAGUCAACCACAAGCCAUAUGAAGAUGCGCUCAGUUGAAGCUGUACAGAGAAUCAAAUCACGCAAGUACAUCUUCUGACCUGAAUAUCUUUAACUUUUUGUUCAGCAUAGUCUGUCCUUUGCUGCAAAGGUGUCUGCUCUCUUAGAUUUUCUAUUUCCAGUUUUCUAUCGCCAGAUAUAUGGCUAUUUUCAUAUCCAAUAUCUGUUUACACCACCAUUGAUUGCCACUUUCUCUUUCUUUCUAUGCAUUAGAAAAAGCUGUUGGAGAUAGAGUCCCUAAUGCCGAAAAGAAAAUUGAACUAAUUUUGAAAAAAGUAAUGAAAAAAUUUGGUGUGGUUUUACGAGUGGAGCAUGUAUUAUUGUGUCCCUAAUUAUUGUUGAUUACCAGAUCGCAAAUUUCCAAGCUCCAAGGUAUUUCUUAAAACCAGGAACAGAUUCGAAAAGCUAUAAAAAGCAUUCACCUGAUAGCAUAUGGUACGCGUACCCUUCCAAUUUAGUGUAGACUGAAUUGAGAAGCUAUAAAUUAUAACACGUGAUCUUAUAUACUUAUGUCUUCUUCCCCUGUAUUGUCGUAUUGGGUUUAGUAAAGAUUUUAUUUUUCAGCUCACCUAAACACCAGCAAUCGUUACCAAUCACUGAGUGCAGUCGUGAUCAGUUACAUGUUCCAGGGGUAGCAACAAGGAGAACUUUUCAGUGUGCGAGCGGAACGGAGAAGUUUCACAAGACUGUUUACCUGCGCAUCUAGUAGAGCAACUGAAUGCGCAAGAAAGUGUUGACAUUUUGCAUCAUUCACCUGGUAUUCUUCAUGAGGAAAAACUAUCUGGAAAUAGAGAUGGCCAGGCUCGUAGCUCUAGUGAUAGUGACAGUGAGAGUGAUAAUAGCGACAGUGGAAAUGACAGCGGGAGCAGCAGCGAUAGUGAGGCUUCUUCUAACAAGGAAAGUUCUGAUGAGGAGGUGGAUAUCAUGAGCGAUGGUGAUAAAGAGCCUCAACAAUCAAUACAGUCAGCUGAACGGUUUGCUAUUGAUCUCCCAGGCCAUGGUUCUGAUGUAGCUGCCGUCGAGGGUAAUGAUUCUGAUGCUGCUGACUUCGAGGGUCAUGAUUCUGAUCCAGUUGACAUCGAUGGUCACAGUUCAGAUGAGGAUCACUGUUCUGAAGCUGACAGGAAAAAGUUCUCGGAUGAUAACUGGAAAAUGGAAGCAAGAACUGGUACCACUCCCACUACAAAUGAAGAAGUUGGCAUUUCAGGGCAGGAACAAUUACCUUCUGGCGACGACAAUCUACGAGAGCGCCAAAAUUUUAUUGGACAGAUGUUUGAUUACACGGAUAAUACAACGAAUGAUAGCUUAACCAAUGACCAGCGUGACAUCUCUGAGAGGCUAGGCAAAGAUCAGGACCAAAUAGCCCCUGCUUUAGACCACUACAGUCAGCAAUCAGCACGAGUGAAAAACAUGAAAUACCAGCAAUUACCUGCCGCGGGUAGAGAUUCAGAGCCUUCAGAGCGCAAGUGUGAUGCAGAAUAUCUCAAAGCUUUUGCCACUCAGAUGAUAGAUCCACUUAAAGGACUUCAGCAGUCGUCGAUCCAAAAGUUGAAUGGACCUGGUCAGAUGAAGCCUGUUGAUAGUUCAGGUAGACCAAACACACGUGAUACACUAAAAAUGAAUCCUUGCUACUGUCAAAUUAACAGUGGUAAUUAACAGUGGUAAUUGUAAUAUUUGAGAUUCAAUCCAGAUGAUCAGUUUACUCUUUACUCUUAUGAGUUCAAUAAUAAGCUGAGAAACAAGUGGGGUUUUGAGAAUUAAUUGUGACGCAAGUAACUAGAAUACCUAGAUGGUUCAAAUUCGAUUUAAAUGAAACCGGCUUAGGGUUAUUAAUCGGGUGUCAAUGCAAAACUAAACAACUAUUCAAGUGCAAUGAGGUGCAGUCUAGAACUCAGAUCACUCGGCUAGAACAAUCCACUAUCGUGGUCUUGCUCCCUUUGCAGAUCGGUCUUGAAUCCUAAGUUCUCACUUGGAACAAGACGCGACAACAAGCCUUAGAGACAAGAUCUGAUUAGUUCACUUAAUACCCUAAUAUCUACUCUCGCUGAUUAGGGAUACAAAGCUCAUUCAAUAUAUGUCAAUUUAUCUCCUAAGCGGUUAGCUAGGUGAUUAAAUCAGAAAUCGAACAUUAAGUGAUCAAUUCAAUGUAAGCGGUAAGAACAAUAUGAAUGAAGAACAGUUAAGAUCACUUAUUUGUGUACAGUUCAUGCGGCUAACACCCUACAACCCUAAGCAAGCUUAGCCUACUACUCAAUCAUAAAGCAGGAUGACACAGACAUGGUUUUUGAAUAAUACUGUAUAUAAAAUAAAGUAGAAAGACAAAAGUUCAGGAUGAUCUUCUCGUGAGGAUGAAGCCUUCUCCCUUACAAGUUGCUUAAUCCAAAGAAAAUAGUUUUCGGUCUCUUGCAAAACUAGCGUAAGAAAAAAAAAUGAUAGAUAGGCCUUUUUAUAUGGAGUCGCUGGUGGUAAAGAGAUAAGAGAGAGUGGAAUCUAGAACAAACUUCCGGAAUAGGAAGUUUCCUUAAUGAUUGGGAACAGUCAGACGCUUGUUCUCUUCGGGAACAACCUUUGGGUUGUUCUAGAUGGCUGUUCCGCAUCGAAUCCUUCAAAACGACAUCUAAAUUCCUGAAUUUCUCUUCUUUACUCUUUCACCUGCUCCAAACCUGGAAUGAUAUCAAUUAAACAUGAAUUAGGACUGAGAAUUAGCUCAAAGCACACAUAUAAUGGUAUUAAAAACACCUUAUAUCAAUUCCCCCAGACUUAGAUCCUUGUUUUUCCUCGAACAAGGCCAAGCCUCAAGAACAGGGAGAAAGGUUUGAAAGAGUGGGAACUCGCUUUUCCUGAAUAAUCAUGCUCUUACCACACAUCUCUGAACCAUACAAGCUGUAGACUUAGACCGCACACCCUUACCAGAACACCCACGAUCGCCGUUCGAGAAUCAGCUCCAUACUCUCUAUCUCAUACCUGAAAAGGUCGCACUAUCGAGACAAAACUCCUUAAACAUCAAUUAAGAACAGCGUGAGCUUCUCUUUACAUGCACUAUUCAGGGUAGACGGGUUGAUAAGGAACAAGCUGUUUUAUGGUGGAGCUGAGAGUGUUUAGGGGCUACCGUAUUUGAGUGUAUGCAGGAUAUCGCGCAAAAUAGCAAGAGAGGGCGGAUCUAUUGAUGUCCACAACCCUUACUCGUUUCUGCUUCACGGAUGUGGCUGUUCUCCACUUCGGGUCAAUCAUAUGACUGUUCUCUAGCUCUUGACUUCUUUUCUUAUUCCCCAAAAAUCGGUACCAACUGUGGGAACCGAAAUUCGCACCGUCGAUUUCUGUUUAAAUUAGGAAAGUUAGGAAAACCCUAAUUUCCCAAAGGUCCCAGAUAUAACAAGAUAGAAGCAUAGGCUAUGAGAGCUGUCGGCGAGAUUCCUAGUUCUAACAACCUAAGAGUGCAAAACCUAGUUGAGUCGCAGCUCGAAAUAACAAAAACGGAAAGUUGCCUAAUUGCUCUAAGUGCUAAGUUUUCUCUGAGAAAGUCUUCCUCCAUGACUCUCGCCUAGGACUCCUUAUAUACUGGCUCCUAGGUCGGUUUACGCUUUUCCUCUUCUGCCCUUAGGCCGCCAUAGCAUAAAAAUGGAGAUAUUCCAUUUUUUCCGAUCUUCGUAAUUAUCUUCAAAAUUUCGUAUUUAUCCGCAGAAACUUGACAUUUAUCUUUCCUUGCGAACCAAGCGUAAACCGUCAUGCGGCGUAGCGAUCUUUUUCGACUCUUGUCCGAUUUCUCGUGUUUCCUCCGCAAAGCUUUUCGUAAGGAAGAAUCUAUUUCGAAAAGGUAUUUGCCGAAGAAGGUUUUUCGUUUUCUUCUUUGGACGUUUUGAAUGUUAAAUUCGUUGUAACCGUUUUUGACCCCAAUAGUUAGCUCCCCAGCUCGUUAGAGUCGAGACUCUAGCGUGCGGUUUGACGUUUUUGGCAAAGUUAGGCGUAUUGAACGAAGUUUACUUCAAACUCUGCGGAAGAGAAUUCUCGAGAAAGUGUAUAUUAAAAAAUAUAAAAUUCCGAGCCCAUACUUCUAUAAGUAGUGAGCUCUUGCCAUUCAUUUGCUUCACACCUUCCCUUCUUCAAACCUCCAAAACCUCUCUAGCUCCAAAUCUUUUGCCUUUAACAUGUCUUCUUCCCAUGGUGACAAGAGAAGUUCCGAUGUUGAGAUGGGCGAGGCCACCUCUCCGGCUCUGAUUCCGACUUCUCCGGUCGAAGAGCCGGCUUGCGUUUCCGACCAUCUCUCCUUUCGAGAGAGACUAGUUCGUCGUCAAGCCGAGAAGGAACAGGUUCGAGCCGGCGCCGAGUUCCCGUCCUCUUCUGCACUGGCCAUUGCUCCGGGUCAUGGGACCGAGGUCGUAACUCCGCGAGAUACGGGAACUCCCGCAAGCUCGGUCGUUCCGGAUGCUUCGGCUUUACCUGCUGGAUCGUCCACGACUCCGAUUCUCGUCGAGGAUAAGGAGAGGGCUGCUGAUUCUAUGCCUCCUCCUCCGGUCAGGAAAGAGAUUGUUCUAGAGCUGUGCGCUCCUAGUGUUGUUCUGGUUGCUCAGCCUAAGGGCCGAAAGAGGAAGUUUACCAAGGGCGGUGACGGGGAAUCUUCGCAGCAAGGAGACUCGAGCAUAGCAUCGGGGCUUCGCGGAAAGGUUUGUCACUCACUUACUUUCUUGAUUGUUACAUAUUUCUCUGAAAGACAAAGAAUCCCUACCUUUCUUCUUGUUUCGCAGUUCAUGUCGUUGAUUGACGGGAUGAUCAGCGAGUGCGGUUCUGAGACUAGUCGUCUCGCCGAGGAGUUAUUGGAGCUGCAGGGUAGAUGGCUGAAACCGAGGCCAUGCUGACGGCUGUCAAGGAUUCUCACUCCGUGAAAGUGUCAAAACUCGAGGUCGCGUUAGGGGAGCUCGAGAGGGACCUCGAGAAGACGGCAAGUUCAUUGCUUAAGGAGAAGAAAGCCAGGAAGGCCAAAUCUUCGGAGGUGCGUCGUCUUCAGCGUCAGAUCGAGGGCGAUGCAGGGUUAGCGAGCCGCGGGAUUCGAGACGCGGGAUUNNNNNNNNNNNNNNNNNNNNNNNNNNNNNNNNNNNNNNNNNNNNNNNNNNNNNNNNNNNNNNNNNNNNNNNNNCUUCUUCGUUCUGAGUUUAAGGUCGCUUGGCGAAGAUCUCCGCCUUUCUGGGCUCCCUCGAGUGCAUUCGGAACAGGUAUUUAGCCUUGGCGACGAUUGAGGGCGGGAUGGCCGUGGUUCAGUCGUUCCAGUGUGAGACUCCUCCGACCUUAGAGGCCGAAGAGGUCCGACUGUCAGGCUGCAAGGGAGAUUUUGCAGUCGUGGAUGGAGAUUUCGAUCUCAUCCUAGCUGACCUGAAAUCCGCAUGCUUUCUUCUGACGUGUUCAGAAGGCCCAGAGGGGAAAGAUCCGGUGCUCGGAGAAGGCGGAGGUGAUGCGGCUCCAGGCUUGGACGAAGCGACGGGUGAAGAGGGAGCGUUAGCUCUGAGGACGACCUUGGUUAGAUCUCUUGCGGGAGAUUUUUUUUUUUUUUUAAUGUUUGAUGCUUCGGCCUCAAAUGGCCUUAUUUCGUGUUUCGGGACUGGCCGUAUGUGGCUUUGAGUCCCUGCCGCUCUGCGGUUUUCUUUUUAUGACAAGAUGGUCGAGUUGCAUUUUUCAUAAGCUUAUGUAUGGCGUGGAAGAAGGGUGAUGAGUUGUCGUCUCAUAUCCUUCUUCGAUGUGAAAUGUUUUGUUCGAGAUCUGUUUCGAGAGUUUUUCCGCGAGAUAUCGACUUCGCGGGAUAUCUGAAGAUGUCGAAUAUAAACAUAGAGGCAUGGUUUUGGGAUCUCGUAUCUCUUGGAUAUCAUGCCUUGAGAUGUUAGAGACCAGUGCGCUUGGUUUAGGGCAAGACCUAGGUUUACUUUCGGUUUUCAGAUUUUAUGCGGUGACUAGCCGGCUAUCGGUUUUUCUGUCGCGAUUUUAACCUGAUUCAUAACGAUUUUAAGUCCGCGAUAGGUUCUCGGCUUAUAUGACUUGUUAGAUAUAACUUGUUGGAUGUAUGAGAGUCAUCUUUGUGAGAUGGCUAUGUCUGUUUAGGACGUUCAAAAGUUCGAUGUGAUUUGCACCGAACUUGGCGGCAUAUACCGUCGUUUAGAGUUUUUGCGCAAGGUAUGUGUUAAAAUGUUCAUCAUUUUUUUACGGAGUGUCCGUUUUCGUCGUUCGGAAGAAGUAACCGUCGAGGCAUCUCUCGCAACGUCUCGUGAUGCCAAAGGCUGCUUCUCCCUAACGGCUGAUUUAUUUUCGAAUAUCGAAAAUGUUUUGCGGAAAAAAAUAAUUUGCUUGGUUAAGAUAUGUCGGAAACAUCGAAGGCGUGGUCGGAUGUUUUCGAGUUUGAGAGUAUACAAGUAUAAGUAUCCACUCCCCCCCCUUUUAAUGAGGGGGGGACAGCUGAAUUUGCCUUUCGAUAAACUGCCUACGUACUCCUUAUGGAGAUCAAGCCGUCUCGUAGUUCGUUCAUUGCGAGUUGGUAUGUUUAGUGAUAGUAUUUUUUGAGAUGCAUCGCGUUCCAGGUCUUUGGAAUUCUUAUGCCUUGCAUGUUGGCUAUUUCGUAAGAGCCCGGUCGGACAGCUGAAUUUGCCUAUCGAUAAACUGCCUACGUACUCCUUAUGGAGAUCAAGCCGUCUCGUAGUUCGGUCAUUGUGAGUUGGUUUGUUUAGUGAUAGUAUUUUUUGAGAUGCAUCGCAUUCCAGGUCAUUGGAAUUCUUAUGCCUUGCAUGUUGGCUAUUUCGUAAGAGCCCGGUCGGACGACUUUUUCGAUUUUAUAGGGUCCUUCCCAGUUUGCCCCGAGUUUUCCCGCGUUUCGUUCAGCGGUGUUUUGGAAGACUUUGCGAAGGACCAGAUCUCCUUGAUUAAAUAUGUGAUUACGUACGUUGGAAUUGUAGUACUUUGCGGCUACGUGUUGGUAAUUUUGGAUUCGAAUGAGCACUCGAUCUCGGUGCUCGUUAAUGAGAUCGAGAUUGUCUAGGAGCAUUGCGUUGUUGAGCUCCUCUCGUUCGGGAAGUAAUCUUUUUCGAACACCGGGGAACUCUACUUCUGCGGGAAUCAUGCAUUCCGUUCCGUACACCAGAGCGAAAGGGGUUUCUCCUGUUGCUCACCUAGGGGUGGUACGGUGGGACCAGAGGACUCCCUCGAGUUCAUCGGCCCACCGGCCUUUUUUGGCCUCUAAGCGUUUCUUCAGUCCGUCGAGAAUGGUUUUAUUAAUCGUUUCAGCUUGUCCGUUACACUGCGGAUAUCUGGGCGUCGACUUGUUAAGUCGUAUCUUCCAUUUUUCGCAUAACGCCUCGAAUCGGGUGGAGAUAAUCUGAGAUCCGUUAUCGGUUACGAUUUCGUAAGGAACUCCAUGCCUACAGAUGAUGUUUCUCCAUACCAAACUUCCGACUUAGACAUCUUUUAUACUCGCGUACGAAUCUGCCUCUAACCAUUUUAAAAAGAAAUCGGUGAGGACUAAAAGGAAACGCUUUUGCUUUGAAUUAUGAAGGGGACCGACGAUGUCCAUGGCCCAGCGCAUAAAAGGAUAGGGCGAUGUGAUGGAGGAGAGAACUUUGGCUGGUUGUCGAAUGGUUGGAGCAUGCCUCUGGCAUUUUUUGCAUUUUCGUGCGAACUUCUCGCAAUCUCCGAUCAUCGUUGGCCAGUAGUAUCCAUGGCGUUUGAUCUUCACUGCCAGCGAUCUUCCGCAGGAAUAAUUGCCGCAGGACCCAAAAUGUACUUCUUCCAUCAUUUUUCUUGCUAUUUCCCCUUCCGGGCACGUCCAGAGAAUCUCCAUUUGUAAAUUUCGCCGUCUACUGUUACGUAGCGCGCGGCCUGUGAUAAGGAACAAGCUGUUUUAUGGUGGAGCUGAGAGUGUUUAGGGGCUACCGUAUUUGAGUGUAUGCAGGAUAUCGCGCAAAAUAGCAAGAGAGGACGGAUCUAUUGAUGUCCACAACCCUUACUCGUUUCUGCUUCACGGAUGUGGUUAUUCUCCACUUCGGGUCAAUCAUAUGACUGUUCUCUAGCUCUUGACUUCUUUUCUUAUUCCUCGAAAAUCGGUACCAACUAUGGGAAUCGAAAUUUGCACUGUCGAUUUCUGUUUAAAUUAGGAAAGUUAGGAAAAUCCUAAUUUUCCAGAGGUCCCGGAUAUAACAAAGUAGAAGCAUCGGCUAUGAGAGCUGUCGGCGAGAUUCCUAGUUCUAACAACCUAAGACUGCAAAACCUUGUUGAGUCGCAACUCGAAAUAACAAAAACGGAAAGUUGCCUAAUUGCUUUAAGUGCAAAGUUUUCUCUGAGAAAGUCUUCCUCCAAGCCUCUCGCCUAGGACUCCUUAUAUACUGGCUCCUAGGUCGGUUUACGAUUUUCCUCUUCUGCCCUUAGGCCGCCAUAGCAUAAAAAUGGAGAUAUUCUAUUUUUUCGAUCUUUGUAAUUAUCUUCAAAAUUUCGUAUUUAUCUGCGGAAACUUGACAUUUAUCUUUCCUUGCGAACCAAGCGUAAACCGUCAUGCGGCUUACGGGCUGUUGGUUAAGAAAUCGUAAGUUGGGCCUCGAGUCAUGUCUUAGGUCCCUUUGGGCCGUCUCCUGACUCGAAGCGUUUAUUACGGCUUCUUUCGAUAAAGAACGAACUUUCCGCGGUUUUUACCGUAAAGUUUGAUCGAUGACUUAGAAUGGCGGGAAACAUGAAAUGGGUUCGCUACGGUCUUCGGGAGAUAGCAUCGAAGGGUAGACGAGAAUGCAUGGACUAAUGUUGUAUCGACGUUUCGGAAGAGAUCGGUCGCUACGUAGCGANNNNNNNNNNNNNNNNNNNNNNNNNNNNNNNNNNNNNNNNNNNNNNNNNNNNNNNNNNNNNNNNNNNNNNNNNNNNNNNNNNNNNNNNNNNNNNNNNNNNNNNNNNNNNNNNNNNNNNNNNNNNNNNNNNNNNNNNNGCUUCGGCUCGAGCUCGGUCGCUACGUAGCGACCGAGCGGAACGAAUGCUUGGUCGCUACGUAGCGACCGAUCUUUGGCUCGAGCUCGGUCGUUACGUAGCGACCGAGCUUGGCUCGAGUUUGGUCGCUACGUAGCGAUCGAGCGGAAUACGCGUUCGGUCGUUGCGUAGCGAUCUUUUUCGAGCUCUUGUCCGAUGUCUCGUGUUUCCUCCGCAAAGCUUUUUGUACGGAAGAAUCUAUUUCGAAAAGGUAUUUGUCGAAGAAGGUUUUUCGUUUUCUUCUUCGGACGUUUUGAAUGUUAACUUCGUUGUAACCGUUUUUGACCCCAACACCAACUCUUUGCUCAACCCUUCCCAGUGGCGUGUAUCUUCCGAAGUUACCUUCACCGUCUCCAUCAUAAAAUAAAUAAAAGCAUACAGUAUAUAUAUUUUUUUUUGUUUUUGAAUAAUAUUGAUGGGGUUUCGAGGGAAUGGUAUCGGGGUGAAUGUUUUGCAGCCACUGGUGGUCUAUCCUUUUGUUUCUCACGGGUCGCCAUUGUUCUUCUGGUCAGAUCAUUGACCCUUGAAUGUUCUUCUUAUUAGGCUUGAUCUUGUCAACUGUUCUCAUUAUGCUCGCUCUCUCUUCUCUGAAUGUAAGGCAUUAACGAGUAAGGGGCUGCGUUAAUCCUAUCCUCUCCGGCCUUUUUGCACAUAUCUGCACAUAUGACAUUGAAAAACAGAGUGCAUGAGGGUGAAAAUAAAGGCUUAGGUACAAGGUUGGAACUAGCUAAAGAUGAGCUAGCCACUCAGGAUCAACAAGAUUGGUAAAAAGAAUAAGAAGCCCUGAGUGUGGGUCUCGUUUCCCUGAUCUAGUGCCCAUAACAAGAAGAAUUUCAGUCAGGAUUAGGUUCAAGUUAGGUGAAGUUGAGUCUACCCAGUGUAACCUUAUCGGAUGAGAGCUUCUGUAGAAUCAAAUGAGAUAAGUAAGAGGGUGUUCCAGGUCCAAGUGUGGGUCUUUCAUCAUUGCUAAGGUCACUGGAUAAGAAUGUUAGAGCACGAGGUGGUUAAUAGAAUAUAUCACUUGGUCCUAAUUCCCAAAAGAGUUUUAGCUGACUCGAUUCUAAACUGACUCAAUAAAACAUCCAAAUGACAUAAGGACUGACUCAAAAACAAAGAAAUAAAGUUUCAGCACACAGUGCUUCGCCCAGACUUAAUUUACACAAUCCCGGGUGUGAAAUGAAUCUGAGGUCAGCCUAAAAUCAACACAAGGCAUAAAAACAAAACAUAAAAAUAAAGAGUUCAGAUGGAUAUAACAAUGGAUAGAGAAUAGUCCUCGCGGAUUCAGUCGGACUCGCCGCUCUCGGCUGGAUCAAACAAACGUCUGUUGCGCGAGCGAUGAACCUCUUCGGUCGAAGUGCCUAUUCCCAUAGGCGCCUUUCCUGGUCGGUACGAUCGUGGAAUCUGCUCUGCUGGAGGCUGUCGCUGGUUACUUCCGCCAAUGCAGCCUCCAGUGAUGAGAUGGAGGAUCCUCCGCAUGAGGCUGUUGUUCUUCCGCUGCGAGUCAACCAUCCAGCGUCGGUAAGCCUGAUCAUCGGUCACAUCAGCCAGCUCUCUGAGGUCGUAUGAUGGUUCAGCUUCUGGGGUGAUGUCCUCAACAUCUUCCAUGUCCGCGUCAGGUGCUGCAGCACAUGGAUCAGUGCAAAGGAGCUCAGGUGGAGGGAGGAAGCGUAUGUUGUCGAACACGCUGAACAUGGUGAUCUCAGUGGGCAGGUGUCCGCUGAUAAUUUGCGGGCUGCCCAUUUCUCAGUGGGCAGGUGUCCGCUGAUAAUUUAGUCUCGAAUAGUCUGCAGCCAUGGGGUAUCGCGGCUGUAAUCUGAUUGCUCCGAAUGCGGUUGUGUCGUAACUUUUUUUUCUUCGUCAUCUUGACCUUCUAUGAGGUUGACGACGAUUGGUGGUCCGAUGCUCGGAUGUUAGAUGAACUCGACCGGAAUUACCCUUUUAAGUCAUGGGUCAGAACUUGAUGCUAAGGCCGCGAGAGCAUCUGCCUGGACGUUUUCGGAACGGGGAAUUCACGUAAGGGCAAAACAGUCAAACUUUUGAGCUUUUUUUUGGACCAGUUUGAGGUAUGCGUCCAUCCGUUCGUCCCUGGCUUCAUACUCUCCGCUGAACUGACUUGCCACUAACUGGGAGUCGCAGUAAGCGUGGAUGUUUCGUAUCUUCAAGCCGUGAGUCAAACGCAGCCAUGCGAUGAGUGCUUCGUAUUCGGCCUCGUUGUUUGAGGCGUGAAAUUCCAGCCUUAAUGACUGCUCUAAGAUCUCGCUCGUCGGAGAUGUGAGGCGAAUUUUGAUGCCUGAUCCCUGCUUAGACGAGGAUCCGUCGACGUGGAGGAGCCAAGUGGAAUUUGGUUCCUCGUUGGUUAUGGUCUCUGUCGCUAGUUCGACCAAGAAGUCUGCAAGCACUUGUGAUUUUGCGCUUGUUCUCGAUCGGUACUCGAUAUCGUUCUCGCUCAAUUCGAUCGGCCAUUUGGCAAACCGGCCCGAUUGACUCGGGCUAUGCAGAAUUGUCCGUAGGGGAAAAGUCGUGAGGACGAUGAUCGUGUGGGAUUGGAAAUAUGGUCCUAGUUUUCGGGCCGAUGUUACGACCGUUUAUGCUAAUUUUUCCAUUAACGGGUAUCUAGAUUCGACAUCCUGCAAGGUUUUGCUUAUAUAGAAUAUAGGUUUCUGUUUGCCGCGUUCUUCCCUGAUCAGCACCCCGCUCACAGCUGUUGCCAAUACAGCGAUGUACAAGAACAAAGGUUCCCCCUCCACGGGUUUUGCGAGGACUGGAGGGGAAGCUAAAUACCGCUUCAGCUGUUGGAAAGUGUUUUCGCAUUCUUCCGACCAUUCGAAUUUUUUAUUUCCCCGUAAGACAUCGUAGAAGGGCAGACACUUAUCCGUUGAUCGUGAAAUAAACCGGUUAAGUGCCGCGACUCUACCAGUCAGCCUUUGGACUUCCCGCUUAUUCUUCGGUGAAGCCAUCUCGAUCAGUGCGUUGAUCUGUUUUGGAUUAGCUUCGAUGCCGCGAAAUGUGACAAGGUAGCCGAGGAAUUCCCCUGAUGCUACGGCAAACCUGCAUUUUGUCGGGUUGAGCUUCAUGUUAUGGGAAUUUAGCUGCGCGAAACAUUCCUCGAGAUGUGAAACGUGAUCCUUUGCUUGGAGGGAUUUGACGAGCAUGUUGUCGAUAUAAACCUCCAUCGUUUUACCGAGUUGUUUGAAGAACAUACGGUUCACGAGUCGUUGGUAAGUUGCACCAACGUUUUUGAGGCCGAAGGGCAUUACCUUGUAGCAAUAGGUUCCGCGAUCGGUAAUGAACGCAGUCUUCUCGCGAUCGUCAGGGUUCAUCAUAAUUUGAUUGUAACCUGAGAAGGCGUCCAUGAAAGACAGAAGUUUGUUACCUGUCGUUGCUUCUACUAAUCGAUCGAUAUGUGGCAGAGGGAAACUCUCUUUUGGACAGGCCUUGUUUAGGUCAGUAAAAUCCACGCAAACUCGCCAUUUUCCGUUUUUCUUUUUAACUACUACAGGGUUAGCGAGCCAGUCUGGAUACCUCACUUCCGUUAUUGACCCGACUUUAAGCAAUUUUUCGACCUCGUCGUUUACCGCGGAAGCCCGUUCAGGUCCUAGCUUCCGUCUUUUUUGUUUGAUGGGUUUGAAGGUUGGAUUGAUAUUUAAUUCGUGACACGUUAUGUUAAUGUCGAUCCCUGGCAUAUCUUCCACGGCCCAUGCGAAAGUGUUGAGGUUCUUUUUUAGACAGGUUAUGAGCUCUGUCCUCAAAGGCUCGCGGAGAUUGGCUCCGAUCUCGACGCAUCGUUCCAGAGAUGCUUCGUCGAGACAGAUUGUGACCACAGGUUCGCAAGUUGGUUUGCGUUUUUCCUCUAGGGGCGUGAUGUUACGAGACUGCCAGAAGAGUUCCUCCGAAUCUUGACUUCGCGAAUCCUUGUUGGAGAUCUUUUUCUCCGCUUUUCUAGGAGUGGUCUCGAGGUCUGGUCUUUUUCGUUUUUGUUCUGCGGCGUAACACACCUGUGGUACUCCUUGGUUUCCCCAUAUUACCUCGACUCCGUUAGGGGUUGGAAACUUGAGGCAAAGAUGGUACGUUGAUGGGAUAGCACGCAUGGUGUUCAACCAUGGCGUUCCCAUGAUAACUUUGUAAGAUGUGGGACGGUCAACGACUAGAAACUUUGUGACUCUUGUCACGGUUCCGGCUUUGACUACGAGAUUAAUCGACCCGUAGGCCAUGGUCGUUUCUCCUGAAAGUCCCAGUAGUGGGAUAGGGUAUUUCACGAUUUCGGAUUGAUCGAUCCCCAUUUUCUCGAGAGUAUCUUUGAAGAUGAUAUCAGCCGAACUUCCGGUGUCGAUUAGCAACCUAGCGAUGUCGACAUCUCGGAUCGUCAGUUCGAUAACAAGGAGAUCGUUUCGAGGUUUGGCUCGAUUGACUGUUGCUCCCCCCUUGAACGAGAUGACGUUCGCGCACGUCGAGUCUUGCAUAUCGUUCCUGAUCGUUGAGUGGCUUUUGCGGGUUAGAUUGAUCCGUACCCCCCCCCCUCCUUCUAGCGCCAAACUGUGGAAACCCAAAUUCGCACUUUCAAUUUAUGUUUAAAUUAGGAAAGUUAGGAAAACCCUAAUUUUCCAGAGGUCCCGGAUAUAACAAGAAAAGAAAGCAAAAGGAGUUUUAUUCCGAAUUCGCGUAUGAGCGUUACAACAAGGUAGAAGCCUCGGCUAUGAGAGCUGUCGGCGAGAUUCCUAGUUCUAACAACCUAAGAGUGCAAAACCUAGUUGAGUCGCAGCUCGAAAUAACAAAAACGGAAAGUUGCCUAAUUGCUCUAAGUGCUAAGUUUUCUCUGAGAAAGUCUUCCUCCAUGCCUCUCGCCUAGGACUCCUUAUAUACUGGCUCCUAGGUCGGUUUACGCUUUUCCUCUUCUGCCCUUAGGCCGCCAUAGCAUAAAAAUGGAGAUAUUCCAUUUUUUCCGAUCUUCGUACUUAUCUUCAAAAUUUCGUAUUUAUCCGCGGAAACUUGACAUUUAUCUUUCCUUGCGAACCAAGCGUAAACCGUCAUGCGGCUUACGGGCUGUUGGUUAAGAAAUCGUGAGUUGGGCCUCGAGUCAUGUCUUUGGUCCCUUUGGGCCGUCUCCUGACUCGUAGCGUUUAUUACGGCUUCUUUCGACAAAGAACAAACUUUCCGCGGUUUUUACCUUAAAGUUUGAUCGAUGACUUAGAAUUGUGGGAAACAUGAAAUGGGUUCGCUACGGCCUUCGGGAGAUAGCUUCGAAGGGUAGACGAGAAUGCAUGGACUAAUGUCGUAUCGACGUUUUGGAAGAGCUCGGUCGCUACGUAGCGAUCAAGCGAAACGGACGCUCGGUCGCUAUGCUUCGGCUUGGGCUCGGUCGUUACGUAGCGACCAAGCUUCGGCUCGAGCUCGGUCGUUAUGUAGCGACCGAGCUUGGCUCGAGUUUGGUCGCUACGUAGCGAUCGAGCGGAAUACGCGUUUGGUCGCUGCGUAGCGAUCUUUUUCGAGCUCUUGUCUGAUGUCUCGUGUUUCCUCCGCAAAGCUUUUCGUAAGGAAGAAUCUAUUUCGAAAAGGUAUUUGUCGAAGAAUGUUUUUCGUUUUCUUCUUCGGACGUUUUGAAUGUUAACUUCGUCGUAACCGUUUUUGACCCCAACACCAACUCCUUGCUCAACCCUUCCCAGUGGCGUGUAUCUUCCGAAGUUACCGUCACCAUCUCCAUCAUAAAAUAAAUAAAAGCAUGCAGUAUAUAUAUAUUUUUUUUUGUUUUUGAAUAAUAUUGAUGGGGUUUCGAGGGAAAGGUAUCGGGGUGAAUGUUUUACAGCCACUGGUGGUCUAUCCUUUUGUUUCUCACGGGUCGCCAUUGUUCCUCUGGUCAGAUCAUGCACCCUUGAAUGUUCUUCCUAUUAGGCUUGAUCUUGGCAACUGUUCUCAUUAUGCUCGCUCUCGCUUCUCUGAAUGUAAGGCAUUAACGAGUAAGGGGAUGCGUCAAUCCUAUCCUCUCUGACCUUUUUGCACAUAUCUGCACAUAUGACAUUGAAAAACAGAGUGCAUGAGGGUGAAAAUAAAGGCUUAGGUACAAGGUUGGAACUAGCUAAAGAUGAGCUAGCCACUCAGGAUCAGCAAGAUUGGUAAAAAGAAUAAGAAGCCUUGAGUGUGGGUCUCGUUUCCCUGAUCUAAUGCCCAUAACAAGAAGAAUUUCAGUCAGGAUUAGGUUCAAGUUAGGUGGAGUUGAGUAUACCCAGUGUAACCAGAUCGGAUGAGAGCUUCUGGAGAAUCAAAUGAGAUAAGUCAGAGGGUGUUCCAGGUCCAAGUGUGGGUCUUUCAUCACUGCUAAGGUCAUUGGAUAAGAAUGUUAGAGCACGAGGUGGUUAAUAGAAUAUAUCACAAGGUCUUAAUUCCCACAAGAGUUUUAGCUGAUUCGAUUCUAAACUGGCUCAAUAAAACAUCCAAAUGACAUAAGGACUGACUCAAAAACAAAGAAAUAAAGUUUCAGCACACAGUGCUUCCCCCAGACUUAAUUUAUACCAUCCCUGGUGUGAAAUGAAUCUGAGGUCAGCCUAAAAUCAACACAAGGCAUAAAAAUAAAACAUAAAAAUAAAGAGUUCAGAUGGAUGUAACAGUGGAUAGAGAAUAGUCUUCACAGACUCAGUCGGACUCGCCGCUCUCGGCUGGAUCAAACAAACGUCUGUUGCGCGAGCGAUGAACCUCUUCGGUCGAAGUGCCUGUUCCCAUAGGCACCUUUCCUGGUCGGUGCGAUCGUGGAGUCUGCUCUGCUGGAGGCUGUCGCUGGUUACUUCCGCCAAUGCAGCCUCCAGUGAUGAGAUGGAGGAUCCUCCGCAUGAGGCUGUUGUUCUUCUGCUGCGAGUCAACCAUCCAGCGUCGGUAAGACUGAUCAUCAGUCACAUCAGCCAGCUCUCCGAGGUCGUAUGACGGUUCAGCUUCUGGGGUGAUGUCCUCAACAUCUUCCGUGUCUGCGUCAGGUGCUGCAGCACGUGGAUCAGUGCAAAGGAGCUCAGGUGGAGGGAGGAAGCGUAUGUUGUCGAACACGCUGAACCUGGUGAUCUCGGAGUGAGGCAGUUUGGUGAACAGCUGGGUACCAGCCUUAUCAAAGAAGCUGUAGGUCUCUUCAUCACGCAUGACGUGGCAUGCCAUAAGGUACUUGAUGUCAAGGUACUGAACCUCUUUGUUGACGCUGUACUUGCUGAGAUUAAUGUCGAUAUGAUUGAAGAGCGGUGUGAGCAAGCUACCGCUUCUGUCCAGAGAUCAAUGCCGAAAUGCUUGAAGAGCGGUGUGAGCAAGCUACCGCUUCUGUCCUUCUUGUUCGAACCGUGCAAAAGAUACUGCCGCCUCUCGCAGAUCACGGUCAUGAAGUUGAAACCGGGGUUCGUUUUGACCUUUUGAAUUGGAAUGCCGGACCCAGAAGCUCGGAUUUCAUCCUCAAUACCAGCGUACAGGGUUUGCAGCUCCCCGUUGGUGACCUUCCAGGUCAGAUCUUUAGCGAACAGGAGGUUUGAUAUGAUCUUUGCAAUGACCCGAAGCGCCGGGUUCCUGAUCUGCGACUGGUAAGCCUUUCCCGGUGUGAAUUUCCCAUUCGCAAUGCAAUCCCAAAAGGCGUUAGAAGGGGAGAACUUUUUCGCCACCGCUACUCCUUUCGGUUCAUUGGCUGUCUCAUAGAUCUCAUUGAGCUUGUCGAAGGAUAAGGAGCAGUACUCUCCAUCGGCCAUGAAAGAGAAUGAGCAGUUGGCGUAGGAGGGUGCAUUGGAAUCCUCGUACGUGAUCGUGGCGGUGGCGAGCAAGAUCUGGGUAGCGCUCAUGUGUUGUAUAGCACAGAGGAGCUAUCCCUAUGGCGUGUAGCGUCUCGAACACGUCCUCGUCGAUUCCAAGAUCAGCCAGAGUCUCCGCGUGGCAGAAACGAGUGGGUAACAUGUCAACCCGGAGGAGGGCGUUGUAACGCGCUGCUGUUCCCUUAUCUCAUCCCUCGCAGUUGAAGUCCAAGAGCAAUGGGCUGUCGAGAUCAAUCGGUUCACCCUCUUGUUCACGGGGCCAUGGGUAGGUUGCGGAGGUUUGUUGUUGUGCUUGCGGGGGUGGCGUACUGCUCGUGCAGGUCGCUCGCGUUCUCUUGGCUGAUUGCUUAGUGCGUGCCAUCUGCAAAGCAAACAAAAUAAAGCUUUAGUUCUGUUAUGUCGCACAGAAGAAAUGGAAGAGAACAAUUUCCAUCUCUCCUUAUGGAAACCGCAAAUUGCCUUGUCAUGACAACCCACAAAUCGAAACUCAACCCAAUAACUCCAUUCAACUAUCCACAAACCGAAUCCAAACAGUCCUAUCAAUCGCAAAUCGCAAAUGUGAAAUGAAUCAUGAGUUCAUCUUCUAAAUCAACCCUAACAGCAAAAGGGAAAAUCGAAAUCAAGUAGUUUAAAAAGAAUCGAUCUAUGAAGCGGUUAGAAUGAUGAACUUUGCAAACCGAGUUUUGCGAUUUGGGUGGGGAUUGUCGAGCCUCUUACCUGUUGAAAAUGGUGAAAUGGACUGCAAAAACAGAAAGAACUCGAAAUUCCAAAUGAGUGAGAAGCAAAAACCACUUAAAAUGGAUGAAGAUCUGAGCUUUGGUGGUUGCUUAAAAAUCGCAAGGGUUGGGGAACAGUGUACGGCGGAGUUAAAGGGGAAAAUGGAAGGGUGGGGCCUUAAAUAGGCAAAGCCCUAACUGCCCUCCCCCUUUUUUUUUUUUUUUUGGUUCGGAACACUUACCUGGAACAGGCAAUGGGUAGUUCUACCCGAAGAACAGUCCUUUGGUUGUUCUGACUGAAGUGUCUGAUUUUUUUUUUCUUGUUUUUGACCUACAAAAUAAAUCUGAAAAGAAAUAAAAAUAGACUAUAGAAAACAAUGUACACACUAACCAGUGGGUUGCCUCCCACCAAGCGCUUGGUUAAGGUCAUUAGCUUAACUUGGAUCAGCCGAUCAUGCUGAUGGGGGAUCGCUUAGGGGAAUUUCUUCGCCCUCUGCGAUAGUGGAGUCAGCAAGGUAAUGCUUUAAGCGCUGCCCGUUCACUACGAACUCGUCUCCUUUUCUGUCCAGUAACACAACAGCUCCGUAGGGUCGAACUUCCUUAACAGUGAAGGGUCCGGACCAUCUAGAAUUCAGCUUGCCUGGGAACAACCUCAGCCUUGAAUUGAAAAGCAAGACCUUAUCGUUGGGUUCGAAACAUCUGGCAAUGAUUCGCUUGUCAUGGUAGGCCUUGGUCAUAGGCGAGGUGCCUUAUCUCUUCCAGCUCAUGGAUUUGGAUCAUGCGCCUCUCAGUUGCUGGUUUGAUGUCGAAAUUCAGUAACUUGCCUGCCCUUGCAGCCUUGUAUUCGAGUUCGACAUGAAGGUGACACGCCUUACCGUAAACCAGGUGAUAGGGGGUGGUCCCUAGCGGCGUUUUGUAGGCCGUUCUGUAGGCCCACAGGGCAUCGUCCAGCUUAAGUGACCAGUCCUUUCGUGAGGUGUUGACAGUUUUCUGGAGAAUGCUCUUGAUCUCCCUGUUGGAAACCUCAACCUGUCCACUCGUCUGUGGAUGAUAAGCGGUCGCCACCUUGUGCCUUACUCCAUUCUUCUUUAAGAGGCCCUGAAAUGCCUUGUUGAUGAAGUGUGUUCCACCAUCGCUGAUGACCACUCGAGGCACUCCAAAUAUCGGAAAGAUGAUGGAGCUGAACAUCUUAGUCGCCGCUUUUGCAUCAUUAGUGGGGCUCGCCAUCGCUUCUACCCACUUAGAUACAUAGUCAACGGCGACGAGGAUGUACUCGUUCUUGAAGGAUGGAGGGAAUGAGCCCAUGAAAUCGACUCCCCAACAGUUGAACACCUCAACCUCUAGAAUGUAAUUCUGAGGCAUCUCAUUCCUCUUGCUGAUGUUUCCAAGUCAGUGGCAUGCAUCGCAUCUGGCUAUGUAGGCGUGAGCAUCCCUGAACAUAAUUGGCCACCAGAAACCCGCUUGAAGGAUUUUGGAAACCGUUUUGAAUGUAACGAAAUGGCCCGCGUAAGAAGAACCAUGGCAAUGAUGUAGGAUUCCUGGGAUAUCUGCCUCUGGAACACACCUUCUGAACAAGCCAUCCGUACAAUGUCUGUACAAGUACGGUUCAUCCCAAACAUAACUCCUCGCCUCCCUUAAAAAUUUCCUCUUGUCGUUUCCAGUGAACUUAAGAGGUUGCUUUUCAGCAGCAAGAUAAUUCGCAAUCUCAGCAAACCACGGGAGGUGAGAGUACUGCUUUUGGAUCGCGGCGACUGGCUGUUCCGCGAUGCGAGAACAGUCGGAUGUGAUUCGCAGAGGUUUUUCUGCGAAACGCAGACCAGUCGCGUUGACGUGUUCCACUGGGUGUAUCAACAACCUCGGUUUUGCAUCUUACUUUCUGAGCAGGUACUUAAGAGCAGCAUGGUCGGUGUGCACAAUCACCUUAGAUCCUACCAGGUAGGAUCUGAGCUUCUCGAAUGCAUAAACAAUAGCAAGAAGUUCCUUCUCAGUCGUAGCAUAUCUGCAUUGAGCUUCAUCCAUGGUUUUGCUUGCGUAAUAGAUUACAUGAAGUUUCUUAUCCUUACGCUGCCCAAGGACUGCUCCAACUGCAAAAUCGUUGGCAUCAGUCAUGAUUUCAAAAGGGAGAUCCCAGUCUGGCGGUUGUACUACAGGCGCGCUGACUAGAGCACCUUUGAUGGUAUGGAACGCAGGUAAGCACUCACUGUCGAAAUCAAACUUGAUCUCCUUGCAGAGCAGUCUAGCGAGUGGUCUCGCUAUCCUUGAGAAGUCCUGGAUGAACCUUCUGUAAAACCCCGCGUGACCCAAGAAACUCCUGAUGGCUUUCACAGUUGUUGGUGGUUGCAAGCUCAUCAUCACCUUGAUCUUUGCCUUAUCCAUCUCAAUGCCUUUCUCGGAGAUCUUGUGCCCCAAAACAAUCCCAUCCCUGACCAUGAAGUGGCACUUCUCCCAAUUGAGCACUAGAUGUUUCUCCUCACACCUUUUUAGUACCCUGCACAAGUUAGACAAACAAACACUAAAGGAGUUUCCAUAGAUGCUGAAAUCGUCCAUGAAAACCUCCAUAAUGUCUUCAAUCAGGUAAGUAAAGAUUGACAUAAUGCAGCGCUGAAAUAUUGCUGGCGCAUUGCACAAGCCGAAUGACAUUCUCUUGUAAGCGUACGCUCCAUAGGGGCAGGUGAACGUCGUCUUUUCCUGAUCGUCUGGAUGGAUAGGGAUCUGAAAGAAACCUGAAUAACCACCUAAAAAGCAGUAAUAUGGGUGGUUAGCCAAUCUCUCAAGCAUUUGAUCAAUAAAAGGGAGUGGGAAGUGAACUUUUCUGGUUGCUGCAUUUAAUUUUCUGAAAUCAAUGCACAUGCGAUGUCCUGUCACUGUCCUAGUAGGGAUCAAUUCAUUCUUUUCGUUUGUGAUAACAGUGAUCCCACCUUUCUUAGGUACUACAUGAACAUGGCUAAUCCAUUUACUAUCAGAUAUGGCAUAGAUCACACCCGCUUCAAGAAGUUUCAUAAUCUCUUUCUUAACAACAUCUUUUAGAUUCGGGUUUAACCUCCUCUGAUGUUCGACAGAAGUCAUUGAUUCAUCUUCUAGGUGUAUUCCAUGCAUGCAUAAAUCAGGUAAAAUGCCAGGUAUGUCAGCUAGUGAAUAUCCUAAUGCCUUACGAUAUUUCCUGAGCUCACACAAAAGCAAUGCAGUUUCCACAUUAUUUAGUUCAGCGUUCACAAUGACAGGAUAUGUGGAAUUCAGACCUAAGAAAGCGUACCUGAGCCCCUUGGGAAGGGGUUUAAGCUCAACCUUGGGAUCUUUAAGCUCGCUCCAGGGAUCAUCUGGUUGGUCCGGUGGAACAGAUGGAGUGUUCUCGUCCCUGUUGCUUGCCUCCUGCAGACUUAGACUCGCUACCAUUCUUCACAUACUCCUUGCGGAAUCAAGCAUCUUGGCAUACCCGUCUGCAUCACUGUUUACGAUACUCUGCUCGGCCUCAGCUCUUACUAGUGCAAGCUCAAGUGGGUCUUCUGUAAGAAUCUCCUCGAUCAUUCCUUCGCGAGGUUGCAGCGGGUUAAUCCCUUCAUCAACCUCAAAGGUCUGCCCAUCUAACAUCGGCUUUUUUUGUAGUUCAUCCAUCUCGAAUUGCAUGACUAUGUCCCCAAGAUUCAGAUCAAUCUUCCCUUGUCGCACAUCAAUGAUGGCUCCAACAGUACACAGGAAUGGUCUUCCCAAGAUGAGAGGAUCUUUAGACUCUUCUUCCAGCUCCAGAACAACGAAGUCUGCUGGAACAGAGGUGUUUCCGACUUUUACUUGGAGAUCCUCUAGUAUACCAACUGGGGAUUUGACUAAUCUAUCCGCGAACACUAAGGACAUCUUAGUUGGUUUGAAAUACGUGUAUCCUAGACGUCGUGCUACAGAGUAAGGCAUGAGGUUCACGCUGGAUCCAAGAUCAACCAAGGAGCAUGCAAAAACUGUCUUUCCAAUCUGGAUAGAGAGGACGAACUUGCCGGGGUCUCCUCGCUUCUUUAUCUGCCUGUUCUGAAGCACUGCGCUGCACUCCUUGGAAACUGUCAUGAAUUCGCUCUCCUCUGCACUGCGCUGCACUCCUUGGAAACUGUCAUGAAUUUGCUCUCCUCUUAUAUUUUACCUGAGAUCAAUCCCUUCAUAAAGCUGCGCAUGGAGGGCAUCAUCUGGAUCGCAUCCAUCAAGGGGAGUCGGACGGUUAGGUCCUCCAGCAUCUUCCUGCACUUCAUCUCCUCUCUGUCCUUACGAGUGGCCUUUGCUGGAACAGGGUAAGGGACUUUAGGAAUGUAUUCGCGAGGAGGAACAACCUCUGGGAUCGGGCGAACAGCUUCAGCUGGUUGUUCUGGCCCUGGCGAACUUGUUCCAACUGCUGGUUCCGUAUUCCUCUCAACUGCCGGGGUAUCGGCUGGUAGUUGUUCCGACUCUUUCUGCUUCCCUUUCUCAGCCGUGGUGAACCUCCUCUUCUCCGGCUCGGAAAGUUGUUUUCCGCUCCUCAGUUGAACUGCAUUGCACUCCUUAGGAUUUUUGUCUGUUUUACCAGGUAGAGUACCUUGCUGCCUCUUGACGCUCUCAGCAGUCUGAGCUAUCUGAAUGUCCAUCUGUCUCAUAUGGCUCGCGACAUUAUCGUACUUGGUGCUCAAAUCUCCGAACAUAUGGUUCAUUCUGGUAUUGAUCUCGGUAGUAACCUGGUUCAGAGCUUUCCCUUGGAGCUGUUGUCCUUAGAGCAGCUGCUGCAACAUGACCUUUNNNNNNNNNNNNNNNNNNNNNNNNNNNNNNNNNNNNNNNNNNNNNNNNNNNNNNNNNNNNNNNNNNNNNNNNNNNNNNNNNNNNNNNNNNNNNNNNNNNNAUAUAUAUAUAUUGUGUUGUUAUCCAAAAAAUAUCUUAAUAAAAAAUUAAAAAAUUAAAAAACAGAAAACACAUAACAAAAUAUUAAUCGAAUAAUUUUCUUAAUUUUAUAUGAUUAAAAAAUAAAAUUGACGAGUAAUUUUUAAGAUUUAUUUAUUAAUAAUGAAUAUAGUGCACAAAGAAAAUUUCAAAAUAUUUAAUACAUAAAAUUUUCCAAUGAUUACAUAAAUAAUAAUUUAUCAUCAUAGUCUUUAAAUUAUUAAUGCAUGUAUGAAGAAGUAAUUAUAAAAUGUUUAUGACGGCGUGUGCGGUCAAAAUACUUAGUUUUAAUUUAUAUAUAAAGGCUUUAAUGUAUCCUGUUUCUUUUCCACAAUAAUGUCUGCAGCUUCUUUGGAUGCGAUUAGAGUAUCUUGGCCGGUUGAAACAGUAUUUUUCUCUAAUAAACUUAGUAUCGAGAAACUAGAAAUCUCUUGGCUGUCUUUAAUAUCCCAAUCCAUUACCGGAGGCGAAUCAAAGAGAGGCUUAGGUGGAACCGGCGGAGCUUCAAGACUUCCCUCUAACAUCUCAACGACUUUUCUCAUUGGUGGACGGUCAGCUGGAUUGGUCUGAAUACACCACAAACCCACCAAUGCCAUUUUCUUCACUAUUGUCUCUUCUUCUUCUAUUAUGUGACCUCCUAUAAGUCUAAUGGUUUCUUUCCUCUCUAGAUCAUCGUACAUCCAGUCUGGAAAGUACAUUGAACUUUGAUUGGACCUACAAGCUUAAGCUCUUUUCUUGUCCCUUGCCCCGAUCAUCUCGAGAACCACCAUUCCAUAACUAAACACAUGUUACUUGUGCGAAGCACCACCAUAGUUCCUGGAAACCACUUCAGGAGCAAUGUACCCAAUAGUCCCUCUUGGGUCCAUCAACGAUAUGACACUCUCUUUAUUUUUGCAAAGCUUAGCAAGGCCGAAAUCCGAAAUCUUGGGGCACAAAUCUCUGUCCAUAAGUAUAUUAUGUGGCUUUAUAUCGAAAUGCACAAUCUCCGGUACACAACUACUGUGCAAGUGCUCUAACCCACGAGCAACACCUAUCGCAAUGUUGUAUAAAGUGUUCCAGUUCAUCUUUGUGGACAUAAUCGCAGAAAUAAACUUGUCAAGGAAUCCAUUCGGCAUGAAGUCAUAAAUGAUAGCUCUUUUGCUCCCUUCAUAGCAGAAUCCAAAGAGAGAAAAGAUAUUAACAUGAGAUGCUCUACUCAUGCUGGCUAAUUCAUUGAUGAAAUCUUCUCCAUUGCCCUUUGACUCAGUCAAGAUCUUGAGUGCAAUAUCUCUCCCCGUAGCAUCAGGUAAUUUUCCAUUAAACACAGUUCCAAAUCCACCUUCUCCUAGAGGAUGAGUAAAUGACUUUGUCAUCUUCGUCACUGUGUCAUAACUAUAUCGUUUCAACAUUACCGCCGCUUCAAUGUCCUCGUCCUUCGAAUGACUCUUUCUCUUUGCACUCAAUAUUACUGCAAUCGCAAAAAUAAUGCUUAUCAAAGCUAAAGCUGCUAAGCCUCCUGCAAGAUAAAAAAAAAGAAGUAAGGCUUAGGUGUUAUGAACAUGAAUAGGUAACAGAGAUUGAGAUAGCAAAGGUGGUACCGAUUAUGAGUUUUAAUCUACGUGCAGGAAUUUCUGCAAAAUGUAUCAAAUGAAAAUUGUGAUCAUUAAAGCAAGCAUACACACUACGAAUAUAUUUUUUCCUUGGAUAAAGAAAACAAAAUGAACUUACGUUCUCCUCCUUCUCCUCCUGCUAGUAGAACGGAGAUUCUGUUGCAUCAUGCGAAAGAAAAAAACAUUAUUACGUAUAUAUAUAUAAUAUAUAUAUAUAUAUAUAUAUUUUUUUGCAACUAAUUACGUAUAUAUAUUUGUAAUCACAUUAUACGUAUAUCAAUUGGAUGUGUGUGUGUGAGUAAUGCAUAUACUCAAUGGGCGACUAAGAAAAUAUCAAAAUAUGCUAAACUAAAAGUUAUUUCAACCUUGAGAAAAUACACCACGUUCGGAUAACAAUUUAUAAACUUUUAAAAUAAUAAAAAAAAAAAUAAUAAAUAUAUAAGAUAAGAAAUUGUUAUAUAUAAAAAAUAAUGGAGUUUCAUAGUGCUUAAAAUGUGUCAUUUCAUUUAUAUUAUAUAAAUUUAGCUACAAUAUAUUUACAAAAACAUUUCACUAAAUAUUCUUGUGUGCGGAUUUGGUUUGAGUUGUUAAACAUCAUUAUUAUUUAUUUAAGUUAUUAUAUUAUUUUUCAAAAUCAUAUAUGUAUAUAUAUGUAUAUUAAUUAUAUCUAAGAUAUUAGUUAUAUUUAAUUUUAACUAGUAUUUUGAAAACUGGAUUGGACCGCCUAGUUGAACCAUGACUCUUUCUUCUAUAAGAUUAGGGUUUGUGUUAAAACAUGUAUUUGAAUUCAUCCAAAAAAAUAAUAAAAAAUCGGAGCUUACCCCAUUCAAUACCAAAAAUCAAAAAAUAAUUCUUUUGAAAAUAUUUUAUGUUGUCUUAAAUAUUUUUUUAGUAAAACUGUAAAAUAUUUUUCACCAAUCAAACAUUAUUUUUCACCGCUUACUUAAUCAAAAUCACACUUAUUCUGCAUAAUGUAUGAAUUGCAGUUAAACCGUACUACAAUUUUAUUUCAUAUUGUUUAUAUUAUCAAUGCCACGAUUACAAGAUCCUUAGAAUCUAAAGUUUGGGAAUUAUUUUCUUUUUUUUAGUUGGGUUUUACCAUUAGAUUUAGGAUCUAAAGUUCGGAUUUAAAGAUUAGUUUUUUUAAGACUUAACCUUUGAAUUUAAGUUAUUUCAUAACACAAAGACUAUUAUAUAUAUAUGAUGAAUUGUAUUUUUAUAAGGUUUUAGGUCCAUACAUUAUUUCCAUGUCGAAAACCAAGUAAACAUUAUUCCAAGACCAAUGUUUCACUAAACUGUACCUGAAUCCAUCUUUUGUGUCUCUUAACGCAUAAUUUUGAGAUGUUUGCGAAAUUCAAGAUUUAAAUUAAUUAAAAUGGAGAAAUAAACGAAGAGAAAGGUAAAUAUUUAAUAUUGCUGCAUAAUAUAUAUGUGGAAAGUUUCAAAAGUUUUGUGAGAAGCAAUAGUAUUCAGAGGCAUUUCAUAGCGCGAAAAAUACCACAACAAAAUGGUGGGGUGUUAGUGAAAAGAUGAAUCGUCGGACUAUGCAAAAUAUUCAAAAUGGUUCCGGUUAGAGUUUUACGUUCAACCCCAAGUUAAUUUGAGUUUGACAUUUAGUUUCAUGACUCUGUCACCCUUUCUAGAUUAGUUUGAGCUUUGCCUCACUUCUUUUUGUCUUCUUUUUCACUUCUGUCUUUUUUUUGAAUAAAGGCUUUCUUUUUCACUUCUGUCUUUCAUAUAUCUUUCAAACGGAUUUAUUUUGGGCCGAUAUUUAUAUACCAACACAUAUAUAAUAUAAUUCAUCCAACGUGAGAAUGGUACAUAAAAUAACUAUUAAAAUUUUACAUGUGUUUUCGUUAGUUUAGAUUAUUAUCUGUAUUACUAUAAUAAUAUAAAGUAGUAUAAUUAAUGAGAAAAUAAAAAUAAAUUGAAAAUAAGUAAAAUAAGAGAAAAGCAGCUAGAAACUAUAUAAAAACUAAUAUAUAAUCUGUAAUAUUCAUAGUGAAUGAAUUUAUUUAUAAGAAUAAUAUCCAAGACUAAAUAUAUUUCUUAUUUUGUGUGACUGUGUGUUAAGAGUCUAUGGGUUAAUGUGACGAUUUAUGUUUAAAGAUUACACUUGAGUUUUUUUUUCAUAGGAUUAUUUAUAAAAUAAAUAUCAAACAUAUGAGACAAAUAUAUUUGUAAAAAAUAAUUUACAUUUGAAAUGAUUAUUUAUAUAUUAGAUUCAGUUUUACAUUAUAAAUUUUAAAAUAAAUUUUGAAUUAUUGUAGGUCAUUAGAAGAACUUUUCUUGAGUUUAUAGACAAUAUGGAUCCACUUUGAUUUUCUUUUAUGGAAUGUAAUUUCUGCAUUACUAAAAUUAAAUUUUAAUCUUGUUUUUUUGUCAACUAUUAGUCUAGAAUUGAGCUGUUGUAGUUAUAAUUAGGUUGAUCAUAAUUUUACAAUCUAAAUAUAUUCAUCCACUUAUUACGCAUAUUCUUAUUAAAUAUAUAUAAUAUGUAUAAUUUAUCAUAAGAUAAAUAUAUGUAAAAUUGAAUUUUUAUAUGUACAUAAAAUUAUAUAUGAUAUUGAUGAUAAAGAGAGUGACAAUGAAGAUUUUUUUUUCCGUAAAUUGAGUUGUGUAUUAGGUGAUUCUUCGUUAGUUAUAUGCAUUGUUGAUGAUUUAUAUAUACACAUAUUUCCAAAUUUUUUUGCUUCGAUUUCUAGUUUCUACAAUAAAUAUAUACUAUACACAGAAAUUUAGAAAAGUGAUUUUAGAUGAGAUUAAAUUUUUAUAAUUACUUUAUUUUUUAAUUAAAAACUACAAUUAUUUAUGAUAGAAAUGACUAAAUUAGUCGCUUAAUUAUAUUUUUUUUCUUCAAACGGCUAUUCUAUUAUUCAAGCUUGAGGUGGUCUGGGAAACCAGACCGGAACAGAACAACCAAUGUAAUACAAUUCCCUAUGGAAGGAUUUCGCUAUCUUAGCUAGUGAAUCAGACGAUACAUUUUCCUGACGAAGUACAAAAACAAUCGAGAACUCCGUGAAUCUUGCUUUCAACUUCAUAAACUCCUCCAGCUCAGUAGAGAAGCUCGGCCAUGCUUCCGGGUCUUUGGUCAUCGCCAUUAAUUCCUUGCAGUCAGUCCCAAAAGAUUGACAUGUCGAUACCUGUAGCAUACACUCCAUCGCCCACAAUAAAGCUUCCAAUUCAGAAUGCAGUGGUGAGAUUCGACAUCGUUGAUUUCUUGCUCCCAAUAGCUGCAACGCUCCACUUUAACUUACCCAUGUCCACCCAUAACCACUAAAGAGUGCAUCAUGUGUCCAUGACCCAUCUAUCAUGCAUCGCUCGGAGGUUGGAGUCCCUACUGUAAUUUGUUCUUCUACGAUUUCGUAUGGUCUUUGAUUUGCGUCAAACCAAGCUUGGCAUUCAGAUUCAGCGUGUCUGACAGUUUCCAAAGGGUCCAUGUCGAUUCCUCUAAAGAGUUUGUCGUUCCUCGCUUUCCAAAUAUACCAUAUGAUCCAAGGAUACGGGUCCCUGUCCAAUUUUGGUUCUACGAUAUCAUUCUUCCUCCAGAAGAGAUAAUCAAUGUGAACUGACUUCCACUUGGGAACAGAGUCGGCGACGUUGGGGUUGACGCAUGAGCCCAAGUCUGAACUGCAGGAGGACACUCAAAAAUGGUGUGAUUUACAGUUUCAUCAUCUACACCACAACGAGGGCAGUAGUUGUCGCAUCGCAUAUGACGAUGAGUCAGAUUACUCGUUACUGCUAGUUGGCCUGAUAUCACCUGCCAAAUGAGGUGUUUCAUUUUUGGAGGAGCUUUUAUCUUCCAAGCAUAGGCCUGGAGCUUUGUAAUACUAGGCUCCUGCGUCUCCAAUGACUGAUCCUUUAGCAAAUUUGUUGCCACCCAGUAACCUGAUUUGACAGUGUACAUCCCAUGCUUCGUAUAGCUCCAGCAAUAUCCAUCCCGCCGAUAGUCUUGGCUUAUGGCCAGUGACUGAAUCAAUGAGAUGUCCUCUUGAUGUACAUAAUUCUCUAGCAUUUCAGUAUUCCAUCUCUUUGGAUUUCCAAUCAUCAAACUGCUCACUGGCAUCAUUGGGUGAAGAAUUGGUGCAAUUGGCCUAGUUGGCCUUGCUGGUAUCGUUGGGAUCUAAAGAUCUUCCCACAUCCUGAUUUCAUUUCCAGAGUGUACCUUUUGUCUAAUCCCCAGUGUUAUCAAUGGCUUCGCAGCCAUUAUACUCCUCCACCCAUACGAGGGAUUGUUAACAUCAUUUAUUCGCAAUGGUGAGCUAUAUCGAAAAUAUCGUCCUCUCAAGACUCUUGCCAGUAAAGAGUCCAGAAAUUGCAUUAAUCGCCACAAAUGCUUACCAAGUAAAGCGAGAUUAAAUUCGUAGAUCAUCCUGAAACCCAUUCCUCCUUCCUCCCUUGAUUUGCAGAGUUUCUCCCACUUCACCCAGUGUAUUCCUCUCUUCGUAGGAUUCGAACUCCACCAGAACUGUGCAAUGGCACUAGCUAAGUUCUCACAGGUCUCCAAAGGGAGAAGAAGCGUUGACAUUACGUACGUAGGUAGAGCCAGCAAUAUCGACUUUAUAAGCACCUCCUUUCCUCCCCUUGUUAGCCAUCUUCCUGUCCAGCCAUUAACACGGUUUUUCAGACGUUCCUUUAGAAAGGCGACGAGCCGUACCUUCGAACCACUAAUAUCUUCAGGGAUGCCAAGAUAGGAACCCAUUCCUCUCUCAUUUUCAAUUCUAGUUGAUAGUUUCAGAGUAUCCUUGACAUGUCCAGGUAUCCUUUUACCAAAGAGUAAGGACGACUUUUCAAAAUUAAUGCAUUGUCCCGAGGAUUUUCCAUAGGUCCCAAGUGCUUUCAUAACUUCAUCGCAUUCACAUGGCUCUGCCUUGCAAAAGAACAGACUAUCAUCAGCAAAGAGAAGGUGGGAUACGGGAGGGCUAGCACGUGAAACGUGCAUCCCCGUAAUCUUUCCUUGAUUCUCUGCAUGAUUUAGAAGGCUAACGAGCGCUUCCGUGCAUAAGAUGAAUAUGAAAGGAGACAAAGGAUCUCCUUGUCGUAAACCCCGUUGAGGGGUUAUAUUUCCUCUUGGUUGACCAUUGAAUAAGACAUGGUAUUUCACUGAUGAUACGCAUCACAUUAUCCAUUCAAUCCAUGUGUCUGAAAAUCUCAUCUUCUUCAAGACCGCACUAAUAAAAUCCCACUCCAACCUAUCAUAUGCCUUACUCAUGUCAGCCUUUAUCGCCAUUCGCUUCUCUCUUCCCCCAGAAUUCGUACGCAGAGCAUGGAACAUUUCCUGAGCUAUCAAGACAUUAUCUGUUAUCUGUCGUCCAGCAACAAAAGCUGACUGGGUUUCAGAUAUUCGGUCUGGUAAUACUUUUUUCAAUCUUUGGCAUAGGACCUUAGAUAUAAUCUUGUAACGGACAUUGCAUAGACUUAUUGGUCGGAAUUGUGACAUCUCAUUUGGCUUCUCUUUCUUAGGUAUAAGACAUAUAUUUGCAUCAUUAAGCCCAUUAGCCAUUGUUCCAUCGAAAAGGAACUCAUUUGCCAUACGAGUUAAGUCCUCCUUCACAAUGUCCCAGAACUUCUGGUAAAAAAGGGCAGUGAAACCAUCCGGACCCGGCGCUUUCUCAGGAUGCAUUGCAAAGAGGGCCGACUUAACUUCCCAUUCUUCCCAUUCUGAAACAGGAGCUCUAAGAUCCGCGUUUAUCCGGUCAGUUAUGGUUGUAGAAACAUUUGCUAGCGCCUCAUCAAUGAGUUGAGGGUUGGAUGUUUGGAACAAUUCCCUAAAGUAACUUGUAGCAAUGGCUACUAAUUUUUCCUCCUCCUCUACAAGGUUUCCUGCCGAAUCUAAGAGGCUUGUAAUCUUAUUCAUGGCUCGACGUUGCUUUGUAAUGGCAUGAAAAAAUUUCGUGUUCAAAUCACCUUCCAAUAGCCAGAGUAUCCUACUCUUCUGCCUCCAGAACUGCUCUUCUGCCUUAAGGGCAUCAGUUAGUUCCUUCAGAGCAGCUGCUAUUUCUUCGGUCGUGCCAUCAUCAUCAGAGUAAAGAUUAUCGACCUUAGCUUUAAGAUCUUCGACCAUUUUUGCAGAAUUUAAAUCCCUUUCUCUUUUCCACUGAGAUAAUGCUUUCCUGCAACUGGAUAUGUGAUCCAUUAUACUUGCAUCCGGGGAGAGAUCAGAAGAGUUCCAGCCUUCUAAAAUUACUUGUCUUAUUUCUUCACUCUCCAACCAACGCUUAUCAAACUUGAAGGUUUUCCUCUUCCUGGUUGGCUUAGAUAGAAUAUCUGCAAGAACCGGACGAUGAUCCGAUCCCCACAUUCUUAAGUAUUGAACUUUGGAAUGUGGAAAUUUUUCGUGCCAAUCUUUGUUACCAAGAGCACGAUCGAGACGGCACCGGACAGUGCCAUUAGUACGCUUUCCAGCCCAUGAUAGUUGGUUCCCAGUACAUGGAAAUUCCAACAUUCCACAAUCUGAUAUCAUUUGAUUAAAAAAAGAAAUGAAGUAUCGGACCGUUUCCUUCCCCCUUCUUUUUCAUGAUGUCCUGUUAUUUCAUUAAAAUCCCCUAUCAUGAACCAGGGUCCAUCUCUUAUUGUUGAGAAACGCGUAAGACGUUCCCACACUUGGUCUCUUCUUUCUAACACAGGAUCCCCAUAAACAAAUGUCAUAUAGACUUUUAUUCCAUUAAUGACUGCUUUUACAUCAAUCAUACGAUUAUUAGAAAAUAAAACAUCAACUUGAAAUUCAUCCAUAAAAAAUAAAGCUAAACCAGCACUUUGGCCAAGAGGCUCAACGGUGAACAAUUUAUUAAAUCCUAGGUCAGCCUGAAUGUUUUGCAACAGCAGCUUCCUAUUCUUCGUCUCAGACAGAAACAAGAGUCAUGGGCAAUGCUUCUGACACAUCUCCUUGAGGCGUCGAACUGUGAGGUCGUUUCCUAUCCCUCGACAGUUCCAACUGAGCGUCUUCAUUGAUGACGGUGGGGCGGAUAUUUGGCAUCCACCAUACCUUUCUGUUGAGUACUCCCACCCGGUGUUGUUUUUUUUUGAGCUUGUCUGCUUUAUUCCCCUUCUAGCGCGAGGCACAUUGACUUGUUGUACUUGUUUGGAAUUGAUUCGAGGGGAAGCCCGUCGUGGUUCCGGAAACAAUGAUCUAGUCAUGUUCCUUGUAAGUGCUUUCUCAUCCACCCCCUUUGCAGUUCCACUCUCACCAGAAUCACUUGCCUCAAGCAUAGGAAUUGGGCUUUUUUGUAUGUUCUGAUCAUGAUCAGUCGCCUCCAAAGAUUCAACAAUCGCAAGAUCUUCUCCUAACAUGUCAUCAUCCUCUAUUAGCGCCAGCUCAUUUCCCAUGAUAGUGUCCUCCAUGUCUGCAUCCGCUAUCUCAUCCUCAGUCUCGAUGUCGUGCUCAUUGAGAGCAUCGAUCUUCAGAGCAUUGUAUGGAGGAAUGAGAUCCUCUGCAACUUCUAUAUGAGAAAGUUGGGUUGAGUGUGGUCUGUAGGUGACAUUAUUGUCCAGGGGAGGCUGCUCCGUAGAAGUACUUGACUUGGGCGCUACAGCUGCGGUAACUGGUUGAUCACUAAGGCGCCUCGGUCCUUCUUCCGUGACGAGUGAGCGAAGUUUGUUGGUAUUGCCAGCUGAGGCAGAGGCCGUGUCUCUAGGUUGCUGAUCAUUAUAUCUUCAGUGGCCUGAGCUGUUUCUCCUUCCACAACUGCUCCUUACCCGCAUCUUGUUGCUUUCCUGAUGACGCAUGGCUUCUUACAUAGGAGUACGGAUUGUAUCGAGAGUCCCGCGGUUUGGUAACACGACUAGAGCGGCUUGAGUGAGUAGAGCGGUGAACGUGAGAGUAAGAACUCGCUCCAUCUUUGUGAGGCCGAACUAUCUCAUCUUUCACUCGAGUCCUCCCUGAGGUAUCUCUACCGGUAUUAGGCCUUACGCGAUCAAAGACUGUCUCACGGCCAGUCAGUUGCGAUUUGCGUACUGUUCUGAUUCAUUCAUCUUCAUAAUAUCCAUAAAUAUUUACUUAAAAUAUUGUGGACCUAGAUAUUUUCACAACUAUUUUUCAUGUACUCUACACACGAGAAACACCUCCCACAAUGUUUACUUAAAAUAUUCAUCAAACAUUUGAAUAAUGAUGAAUAAUUUUUAUACAAAAAUAUAUAUAUACCUUCAAAUUUCAAUUUUUCACUUAGCUUGUCUCUCGUAUUAUGAAAGCACUGACAUUGGAGUAUUUAACGCGAAUCUUUGAUGCUAGAGCAAGGUAUUGCGAGAGUGGAAAAAUUGUUGGAGAAACAAAUUAAUGCUUGCACACCGCACAAUUUCCACUUGCGACUGUAUUUGGUGCCUUGGUGGGGACGGUUCUUUGUUUUUAUGUUUCUUUUCUUGGUUUUUAGUGAGGGCGGAUUCACUAGGGUUUAUUUUUCAAUUUCCACAACUGAUAGUGAUAGAAGAAAACAAAUGAAACAUGAAACAUGAAACAAUUUGAUAUGUGACAAAAGUCACCCGUCCCCAGCAAAAAUAGAAAUACGAAGAAAUGAGAAAAUAGUAUUUACGGGAACUGAACUGACCUCGUGGUAUUGGGAAUAGAAGAGGGGCAAAACGUGAUGACGUAGUUAGUCGUGUUCGGGCAUGUGAAGGUGCUGUUACUAUCGCUGUAAGGGUAACUAUAGGCGAGUGGACAAGCUCGCUCGAAGUUCUGAGAGUACAGGGUCGCCUUGCAAGUUUGCCUUGAACCGAAGUAAUUGGUGCAACAGUUUUCAUGUGUACUCGAUUCUUUGCAGGCGCUACUACAAGCGAUUGGUAUUAUCCCGUCGUAUAUCAUGAGCUUAUUUGGACACGUCUUGUUCAAGCCAACCAUACAACCUGAGCUGAAACAUGUCGGGUUACUAUGUGAUGGGACAACCAUCACGGGAAGGUUGUAACCGUACUCAAGACUGAUGAAGUAGCUGUUGGUUCCGCUGUAAUCAAUUCUAAAGUAGAUAUAAGUCACCGUAGACCAACCAUAUGAACCGGGACAUUCGAUUUUGUUGGAUUCGCAGUCUCCGGUUGCGAACGAGAAGUUUCCUCUUGACUCGUUUGAGCAGAGGGUCCUACCGGAGAUGAUACCGUACCAUGAAGAUGGUGCCUGUAGGGCACGGGACUCCCCUCUUCUGAGAGUGAAUCCAGUGUUGGAGAUCUGUGAUUCCCAUGAGAAGACAACAGACCAAACUGUCUGAUCGCAUUUGUUCUCUAUGAUAAGGAUACCCCCGACAACACUCCUUUAAACAAGUUUAGAUUAGUGAAGUAACAACUAUUUACUAAUACUGAAAUGAAAACAAUCAGAAAAAUUCAUACCAGAUACGAACAAGUGUAAAGCAAGGAGCAAAAUCGCGUGCAACCUCCCCGCCAUUUGCUUUCGAGAAAAAUAAAAGUUCCAACUAGGGUUUGAAUAGAAUACGAAUAUGAAUACGAAGAAAUGAACAUAUAAGGUUACAAAUUAAUAACGACCCUUCAUCAAUCGGUUAAGUAUUUUCCGUGAACUUGCAAUGAGAAAUAUUUGGAUGGUAUUUGUUUACACACAAUGUUUAAAAGUCCAAUCACAUAGAGUUUGGAAAACCAUAUGCGAUAUAACUUCUAUAAACAAACUAAUAUAUGUAUUCUUAAAAUAAAUAUAUUUUUAUAGAUAAUUUCAUAUUAUUUACAUUACUGUUUGAACGGGAUUCAGUCGACUAAAAUGAAAGAAGUCAGAAAUGGGAUGACUAAAGACGUUUUAUUAGAUUUGAACUGAAGGGUUACAAGAGUGACAGGAAAGAGCAAUAGGAAAGAGCAACAAGAUCAAAGAGCAACAAGAUCAAAGAGAUCGCCUAAAAUCCUAGAUCUAUCCGCUUGGUGUGUUCAAUCGUCAAAAGUCCUCUUCUUGUUGCUUCUCCUACCCCUUUUAUAGGUCUCUUGCCCUUGAUGCCCUAAUUACGUAUCUCUUUGGACCUUGAUGCGAGAGGCCGAGUAUGCGGGCCUGGACAAGGUUCCCUCCAAGCCGGAUACUUUUGGUCGACUUACUCGACCGGCUAAAAGUACUCUAAGGUCGAGCCGAUACGUUUGGCCGCCAAGCCGACCAAACUGAUCCAGCUUGCUGGAUUAGGGCCUGUUAUUCGAUGGGCCUUGUGGAGUGAUGUAAUCCAUCUCCUACAAUAAGUCUCCCCCAAUUCACUUGUGAGCGACAUGGCGGUCUCAGUGAAUUUGUGGGUCAUGUUUAUUCGGAUAGCAGGCUCUAAUACAAGGGAUAACCCUUCCCGUUUAGUCGUCGGCAUGUGCUUUUAGUCGCGUGGUGUUCUGUAGGUGUCUCUGGUCGCUCAGAGUAGCGCUUGUCUUGACUCGCUUACUUGCCUACCUGCUUUUAUGAUGGGAUACAGUUUUACUCGGGUGAUAGAUCAUCUUGGAUAGAGCGACGGGGAUCGGUUUUGCUGGUUAACCGGGGACCGGUUCAAAUCAAGACCAGGAAUCGAUUCCGGUCUGACAACCUGAUUGAAAAUCGGUUCGAGCGAGAAACCGAACCGUCGCGAGUAGGUUUCUGGGCAUUUAGGCGGCCUUUGGAGGCCCAUUUAGGCCUUUGUAGACCUAAUGAUUGUGCUCGGGAAACGUGCCUUCGUUUUUGCUAUAAAUAGGUCUCUCUCCUUUGCUUUCGUCAUUCUUCUCUGCAGAUUCAGGUAUCCCGUUUUCUCUCCCUUCUCUCUACUUUUACUUUCUCUCUCUAGAUAGGUUUUUCUUCGUAUAGACUCGUUGGUAUCGUUCGGCGGUUGUAGUCAUCCCCUGAAUUAAGGAACAUGCCUCCGAGAAGUCGAUUGUCACGAGAAGAGAAAGGGAAGGACAUCGCAGAUUCUCCGAGUCCGACCAGAGAUGUGUCAGCGACCGUAGUCCACUGGACGAUUUCGACUUGAUUCAUCGCGAUGCUCUUCGGGACACGGAAAACAUGACUCUAUCUCAGCGUCUUUUGGUCGCUGAUGCUCAUAGGAUGAAUCGUGAUGAAGACGCAGAUCGUGUUGAAGUCGGGAACAGUGAUGUGAGUGGAAGUGAGGAUAGAGGGAGAGACCAAGGCGAUACUGCGACUGGUUCCGAACGUGGCGACACUGAUGAGUUUGGUCGGUCUCCGACGCCUUUGAGAUAGGUUCGCAAGAGAGUUUGUUUCAACCAUAUAGACUGUCGCCCAACUAUUUACCAUCCUGGUGGGAUCUUCGAAGAGCUGGCUCCAUUGCCACCCAGACUGCUACAGGACCCGUGGGCUCAGUCGUGGGGGAACGUGUUUGGAUCUUCUGCUUCUCAUCAUACCGUGAGGGAUCUGUUAAGGGCGAGUGGCGGUGCUGGCGUUACUUACAUCAUCCCGUCUGCCGAGCAGCGUCCCUGGUCGCCUCCGGUUGGUUACCAAUGCGUGUAUGAGUCCUAUUUCGGGGAUCAUACGAAGCUAUGGUUCCCGAUUCCUCGGUUAGUGAUGUCUUAUGCAUUCCACCGAGACAUUGCCAUCUCUCAACUUUUGAACGGGUCGCUACGAAUAGCCGUCAUGCUAAUGGUAAUGGCAGCUGAGAUGGACAUCUCGAUGAGCAUGAGGGUCUACGAGGAGUUGACUUUCACGAAGGCGGAGCCAAACGGGAUCUUCUCGGUGAAAAUGCGUUCGAACUACAACGUCUUGACCGGUCAUCCAAAUAAGACGCAGGAUUAGCAACGCGCGUAUUUCUUUGUGAAAUCUGAUGAACAUGCUUUCGAAGAGCCGCCGGGGGACGACUACCGCGUUCUGUGGAAUCGGCAACUCGGUAGAGACUCGUCUGUUGGAGUCUCGUUUUAGUCGUUAGUCCUAACUUUUCUUAUCCUUGUAUUUGCAGUUCAUCAUCCGAAUACGAUCGCCUACCCCGAGAAAUUUUUCGAAAGUGCUCAAGCGAUCGCGGCGCAUAGUUAUCUUCGUUAGCCGGAUCUCAGUCGGGAGUGGAUACGUCGUCAGCAAGCUAGGAUCGCUAGAGGUAAGCCUGCUGAUUGCUUUUAGGGCCUACUCGAGUUUCCUUUUGCGAUUUUUCAUGUUGAUUCUUUGCUUUUGCAGUUGAUUGGGAGUCGAGGCUUCCUUGCGUUCUCGGUCCCCGUAAGUCGCACCUCCCUUUGUUUACUCGCAAACAACAGAGACUUCUCGACAAAGCCAGAGAAAUGGAUGGAGUUCCGGAUCUAAGCGCCCUGUUAAAAGGGAAGUUGCAACUGCUCACGAAGAAAUCGACUACAGUCGAUCCUCAGGGACCGUCUAAUUCUGGAGUCGACGUCCCUUCUGAAGGUGGCGGAACCUCCCGAGAGAAGGGCCCUAUAUAUUGCAAUCGAUCAGGGGGGCAGGGCAGAGACUUCUGAUUCAGGUCCCAAGAAGAAGAAAAGGACCAAAAGGACUAAGGUGGGAGCGACCGACGAGGUUCCUCCCGAAGAGUCUGCUUCCCUCGAUGCGACUUCCGAGGGCUCGAAGGCCAAAAAGAAGAAGGAUGGGAGGAAAAGGUCUCGUGGUGGGGCAGAAGGGCAGGAGACUGUUUUAGUCGGGGCGGCAUUAGAUGGUCAUCCGAGGAAGAGAACUAAGAGGUCUGUCGAGGCAGAGCCCCGUCCUUCUACCUCCGACGUGAACGCUGCUGACGCGGCCUUAGUCGACGCUGUUGGGGAGGCCAGCGGCACUCCUGGAAACCUGUCAGAGGAAAGGAGGAAAACCUGCUCGCGAGAAGGAGGUUCUGGUGGUGAGCCCGCGAGGUCUACUCCAAACUCUUCUGCAAGAAAAAGAUCUGGAUCUGAAGGUUCCGUAGCGAAGAGAAAGAGGAUCGAAUUCCCUGAUCGCGUCGAGUUUUCCUACAAUGAGACAACUCCCCUGAUCCUUAAUCCCUUUAGGUGCGCGGAGCUGAAGCGUUAAAUUCGUGGUGGGACAAAGGAGAUGCCGCAAUUGGAAGACCUUUACUUCAAGAAUGAAUACAUCGACGCUGCUUCCUCGAGAGCGCGGGUAUCUGCGCUACCUUUCACCUUUUAUCUCCUUCUUUGAUUUAUUGGGUUCAUCCAUCUCAUGUGCUCCGUGUUUGUCGUUCUGCAGAGUGACGGGAGCAUGAACUUCCUUGUUGAGAAAUACGACAGCGCCCUGAAGCAAACGAUGAUCCAGUUGGGAUCUUCGGAGAAGCUCGCUCAAGCAAGGUUGAAGGCCAUUGAGAGGGUAAGGGCUGAGCAUAAGAAGGCUAACGAGAAGGCUGCGAAGGAGAAUUUCUUCGAGUGAAGUUCGAAGAGCUGGAGGGUAAGCUCAAAUCCGCUGGCGCGGCCAAGAAAGAGCUUGCCCGAGAGAACACCCGUUUGGAGCAAGCGGCUGCGACCCUUGAGAAGGAGAAGACUGAGCUACUCGAGGAAAGGGACGCUGCAGUUGAGAAAUUGAUUGGAGAGAGGCAACGCUUGAGAGACUCCCGGGGGCUUGAGGUUACUCGUGAGAGGGAAAGGGUCGAAGCUGCUAUGGUCGAGAAGGCAAACCGCUGCUUUGGUCGCGUGCGCGACCAUUUUACUCGCUUGGACGCCUUUGGGAAAACGAAGAACCUGUACGGUCAAGCUUCGGGGACGAAGAAGUGCCUCGAGAUGAUAAAGGCAAGUGGGACGGAGAUCCCGCAAGAAAUGAUCGAUGUUUUUUGCCGAGCAGGAGAAACUUUACGAGGCGGAGGCUACGAAGUUUUGUGUAGGUCCGCUGUCUGAUAGCGACCUCACUCUUUCUCUGCUGGUUCUCCCUUCUCGUUUCGUCGAGGCCAUGUUUAGAGCGUAGUUUGAUCCUUAUGGAUCGAACGUAAAUUUAAUCAGACCAGGGACGGUUUCUCAGCUCAUCACCUCGCUCGAAAUUACUGAGGAGCCAUCGGAGGAGCCAUCGGUCGAUGUCACGUCGGUCCCGGCUGACCACGUCGAGGUCCCGGAGGGAGGUGGUCUUGGUGAACGUCCAAAGAAGAAGAACCUGGAGGAGGUCCCCGGGAAGGACAACCUUGAGAUAGGCAACACUCCAGUUCAAAAAGAAGAGACCGAGAACGUGGGCAUCGAGGAUCCUGUCCUCGUCUCGGAUUCUUCUUCUGAAGGACGAGAAGACGAAGAGGAGGAAGACGAUAGAGUUGAGGAGACGUCGCCGUCGUAGCCCGUCGAGGAAGAGACGACCAACGAAGUCGGGAAUAGAGAUGUUCCCCCACCUCCUGCUGUGUCCUCUCUUGUCCCUGUUCCUACUCGGGUGGAAGACCCGACUGCUGCCACUACCGAAGGCCCAGUCGGUCCUUCUGCUCUUGGGACGCCAUAGGAGGUCGGUCAAGAUUCUGCACCUUGACGCUUUGCCUGUGUCUCCUUUGUUCUUUUUGUGUUUCUUUUUGUGUUUGUGGUCUCGAUAGACCCUGUUGUUGUAUUACUAGACGUACUUUCAUUUUAUCGGUAAGUCGCUGUUUUCAAGCAGACUUUUAGAUUUGCGGGUUGUUGUGUUCCCAAUCUGUACUUGCAACUUGUCUAAGUAAAUUUCAGUUAUCUUUAGAGUCUCUCGAUAUGUUCGCCUAGAGACAAUAGAUUCUUGACCUUUGGCUUUUGCAAAUAGAUAACGACACAACCCGCUAAGGGACUUUGUUCAGUUCUUGUCGUGUUUCGAUUGAGAUAACGUCUAGACGCAUUUUUCUACUUUGAAAACAAGAAACUGAAUCUAAGAGUAGAAGGUUCCUUUUACACGUUUUCUCAAAGACUGUUGAGUAAAUGGGUAGCUAAUCCGUUACGCGUUUAGUCGAGAAAAGGUUAAAGAUUCACUCCGUUUGGUCGGUCAGUGCUCUUUAGGCACAGGUGACUCGCGACCAUUGGGUCCUUAGGCUAAGUGUCUGAUCAGGACAUAGCUAGGAUAUGGAACGUGAGUGUCCGCGUACCUCCUGCUGGAGGUACGGGAGCCGUUGGGUUUGACAAUCGGUAUUUACUCGCUCGGAGUCGAAACAAAGAACAAGAUUUUGACUUUUGUUUUGUUACAGCUGGACCGGUUAGGGCUGCCUACGUACCUCGGUUGAGGAUCAAGCCAUUCGUAGUUCGUUUUUCCCGAGUGAAAGUGGCCUUUGGAAGCGCAUUUACUCGGUCGAGUAGAAGUGACCGCGGAGGUGCAUCUACUCGGUUUUUUUUUUUUUUUAAGAGUAGAAGCGUCUUAGAUGCAUUGAGUUCCAUGCUCUAGGCACUUCUUCUCCGCUUGACGUUUGAAGUCGGUAGACUCUUGGUUUCACAACUUUGAUGAUUUUGUAAGGUCCUUCCCACCUAGCGCCGUGUUUGCCGGCGUUCAGCUCCUUAGUGUUCUCGAACACUUUACGCAUGACAAAGUCACCGAGUUCAAGGGGUCUGGCUCGGACCUUUUUGUUGUAGUAACUCUCUAUCUGAUGUUGAUAGUUUUGGCUUCGCAGCAGAGCUUGGUCCCGUCAUUCUUCAAUUUCGUCGAGGGCAACAAGCAGCAUCUCCUUGUUGAGUUCGACGUACUGGGCAUUUUCGAACGUCGGAGGCUUGAAACGUUAACAUCUACGGGAGCCAUAGCCUCGACACCGUAUGCAAGGGAGAAAGGUGUCGAUUUGGUUGACCCUCGUGGUGUUGUGCGGUGGCUCCAUUGAACUCCGUCGAGUUCGUCGGCUCAAUGACCCUUUUUCAAGUCUAAACGUUUUUUAUUGCCGUCGAUGAUGAGCUUGUUGGAGGAUUCUGGUUGGCCGUUUCCGUGUGGGUAACGAGGGGUAGAUGGCCUCAAACGAAUGUUCCAUUUGCUGCAAAACUCCUUGAAGUUGCCCGACAUGAACGGUGAUCCAUUAUCAGUAACGAUUUCGUAUGGUAGACCGUGGCGGCAGAUAAUGUUUUUUUAGACGAACCCACGGACUUCUUUGUCGGUGACUUGAGCGUAGGCUUCAGCUUCGAUCCAUUUGGUGAAGUAAUCAGUGAGGACGAGAAUGAAACGCCGCUGGCGGGAGCAUGGAAGAGGUCCUAUGAUAUCCAUUUCCCAUCGCAUGAACGGGUACGGCGCGACCGUCGUUCGUAACAUUUCAGUUGGACAAUGGAUGCUUGGUGCGUGGCGUUGGCAUUUGUCGCAGCUUCUGGCGUAGGACUCGCAAUCUGCGUUCAUCGUCGGCCAGAAGAAGCCUAGGCUUCUUACUUUGAUUGCUAAUGCUCGUCCGCCCGAAUGGUUUCCUCUGGCGCCUUCGUGUGUUUCGGCCAUAACCCUGACCGUUUCUUCACCAUGGAUACAUUUGAGGAGUACUUUACUCGCAGUCCAUCGAUGGAGUUCGUUGUCUAGGACGACAUAAUGGGCACUGCGUGUUUUUAGUCGGCGGGUUGCCCAUUUCUCGGUUGGAAGUUCCCCCUUUGAUAGAUAGUCGAUGAACUCAGUUCGCCAGUCAGGGCCGAAUUCAUCAGUAACGAGCGUGUCGGUUUCGGUGAUUGGGGGCAAUGACGAUGGUUUGGUCCGUCGAGAUAUCGAUGCUCGGCUUCUCAAUGCGGUGUAUUGGAAUAGUUCGUUUAACUUGGUUACGAAGCUUGCUUCCAAGGGCUGCAAGGGCGUCGGCGCAGAUGUUUUCUCCUCUGAGAACUUUAACGAGUUCGAAGAAUUCGAACACUGCGGCUAAGCCCUGUACUAUCUUGAGGUAGGCGUCCAUCCGAUCGUUACGGGCGUCGUAAUCGCCGCUAAACUGACUGGCGACUAACUGCGAGUCGCAGUAGGCGCUUAGGCAUUUGCCUUGACAGCUUUUGCUAAGCGGAGUCCAGCGAUCAAAGAUUCGUAUUCUGCUUCGUUGUUCGAGGCUGGAAAGCCGAAGCUAAAAGACUGUCUGAUCAGUUCGCCGGUCGGGAAUUGUAGUUGAACUCCAGCACCUGCGCCCCUGUUAGUUGAAGAUCCAUCGACAUGCAGUGUCCAGUUUGGGCUUGGGAGUGUGAGAUCUUGCUCCAACUCUGGGGCCAAUUCGAUUAAGAAGUCUGCGAGAACCUGAGAUUUCGCUGCGGUUCUGUUCUUGUAAGUGAUAUCAAGCUCACUGAGUUCGAUAGCCCACUUCGUUAGUCUUCUGUACCUGUUUGUAUUUUGAAGUAUUGUUUGGAGGGGCUAGUCGGUUAUUACUUCCACCGAAUGUGACUGAAUGUAAGGGCGAAGCUUCCUCACCGCUUCGACGACCGCCAGUGCCAUCUUCUCCAGAGUUGGGUAUCGCGUUUCUGGUCCAGUCAUGAGCCUGCUUGUGUAGAAGAUUGGCUUUUGCUCACCGCGAUCCUAUUUUAUUAGAACGCUACUGACUGCUACUUGUGAUACUGCGACGUAAAGAGAUAGAACGUCGCCGAGAACAGGUGGUGUUGUCAGAUAAUGCUUGAGUUGGGUAAAUGCCUCCACGCAUUUCUCAUCCCAGAUAAACCUUUUGUUACCUCGCAGGAGGUCGUAGAAUGGCAAGCAUUUGUCGGUGGAUCUGGAGAUGAACCGGUUGAGUGCAGCUAUCCUACCCGUAAGCCGUUGCACUUCUCUACUGUUUUUUGGGCUCGGGAGGUUCAGGACCGCUGAGAUCUGCUUCGGGUUGGCUUCGAUUCCCCGCUGCGUGACUAUGUAUCCAAGGAACUCGCCUGAGGAAACCCCGAACGUGCACUUUGCUGGGUUCAGUUUCAUGCCGUAUUUGUUGAGAGUUUCGAAGUGUAGGUUGCUCCUGCGUUCUUCAAACCGAAUGGCAUGACCUUAUAGCAGUAGGUUCCUCUAUCCGUGAUAAAUAUCGUUUUUUCGCGAUCGUCGGGGUGCAUCAUGAUUUGGUUGUACCCAGAGAAAGCGUCCAUGAAGGUGAGCAUCUCGUUUCCAGCCGUGGACUCGACUAAACGGUCGAUGUUGGGAAGAGGAUAGUUGUCCUUUGGGCAGGCUUUAUUUAAGUCAGUGAAAUCGACGCAGACGCGCCACUUCCCGUUCUUCUUUUUGAAGACUACCGGAUUUUCUAACCACUCAGGGUAGCGCACCUCAGCAAUUGAGCCAGCGCCGAGCAACCGAUCGACCUCUUCGUUUACAGCCUUUGACCUAUCGGGACCGAGCUUGCGUCGCUUCUGUCGGAUAGGCUUGAAUGUCGGAUCGACGUUUAGUUCGUGAGUUGUUAUGGCCGGAUCAAUUCCUUUCAUGUCUGACUUGGACCACGCGAAUGUGGACACAUUCGCCUUGAGAAAGUUGAGAACUGACCGCUGCAUAUCUUCAGACAGAUAUGCACCAAUCCUUGCGGUCCGUCUUGGAUCGGUAUCGUCAAUAGGUAACUCGAGAAUUUCGCCUUCCUGGGAGCAGGCUUUAUAGGUUGGAGGAGUAACGGAGUUAACCGAUAAAGACGAUCGUUGGAGUUUAACUGUGGCGACUAGGAGUUCCCUACCGGCUGUCUGAUCUCCUCGCAGUGUUUUGAUUUUUCUGUCCGUACCGGGGAACUUGACGCACUGGUGAUAAGUAGAUGGAAUGGCCUGCAUUGAUUGUAUCCAAGGGGUUCCAAGUAUAGCGUGACUUUCGUGCAUUCAACGUUGUCCGGAGAUCAUUGCGCGUGGAGCUGUUGCUAUUUUCGGAUUCGAACUUUCGUUUCAGAACAUCUCUCAAAUCUUCGAGUACAGGUGUGUCAUCGUUCUCAUCGUCCGACGACAAGGUUUGCUGAGAACGUAUGACCUCAAUGCGUCUGCGGUUAGCUGGUUGCUCUUCAUCGGCCGAGGAGUCUGCCUCGCCGUUACUCUUCGGAGCAUCCUCCUCGUCAUCUCGUUGUUGGGUUUCGCUAUGUCGACCUUUGCCUGUAGAUUUGCGCUGGGCUCUCCUUUCGUUAUUCUUGCUCCAGCUCUUGCCGUUCUUCGGCUUAGCCUUUAGGGGUUCGAACUUGAAGUCGCCACUUGCUAAGGAUGAGAGGUAGUGCGCAUAGAGUGACUUGCACUCUGUCGUAUCGUGCCCUUUGACGUCGUGAUACUUGCAAUGUUUGGUGAGAUCGACGGUUCUGGAAGGUCCUACCGCUGAACCUGCUGCUGUUGUAGUCUGGGUCGAGCAAACGGCGUCGACUGGUUUGUCGGACGAAUCAGGCUUCCUUACCUACUUGUUCCAUCCUUCUCCGCAGACUACGAGAGUUGAAACUGGCACGUUGUUCUCAUUGACGACAUACAUGUAUCCGUCUUUGCGGCCGUUUUUGUCGAUUGGAGCAUGCUGGAGCAGUUCUUGUCGCGUGUUGGCGUUUUUAGCCGCUGGAGUUUUGGGUGUGUUUAUCUUGCUGAGAAUGGCGUUAGUAUCUUCUUCCAUUCGGAUGAAAUUGUCAGAUCGCGCGACGUAGUUGAGUUUUGGUAUAAAUCCUCUCGGAAUUUAGAACGAACCCACAAUGUGUUCCGCAGGGCGUCGAUGGCAAUACCGUCUGGAAUUUCAAUCCUCGAGACUACGACUUUGAACUUCUCCAUGUAGUCGCGGAGGCUCUGGUCUUUGGUUUGGUUGAGGUUCCACAAGCUAGAGGCGGUAGCGCUGCGCUUGGUGAACAUAAUGUAAGUCUUGAGAAAAGCUGCUGACAAGUCGCGGAAGCUUCCGAUGGAGUUUUCCUCUAACUGGGAAAACCAGGUUAGGGCUUGCUCGCGGAGAGUUUCGACGAACAGUUGGCAGUAGCCUGCGUCCCUUUCCUCAUCGGGGAGUCGAGCCCGUGCCAUCGCGAUGUUGAAAGCUGUCAUGUGUUCCACCGGGUCUCCGCCGGGUUUGUACUCGGGUAGGAGCAACUUCUCUAUCUUACCGAGUUGCACACUAGUCAGAGCGCUAGUAAAAUGGGUGCAUGAUGUUGCGGCGAGGACGCUCUCGAUUUGCGGGGCCGCGCUGGUUACUUGAUGGAUCUUCUCGCUCAUUUGUUGGAAGCUGAGUUUGAGCUCGGCGAGCUCGCGUAUGGUUGUGAGAUCAGAUCCUACUGGGGGUGGUCGGCGAGAAGGGUUUCAUUAGGCUCCGAGUCGUCUGAGAUAUGGUCGCCUCCGGUCGCCGUUGGGUUGGUGUUAAAGAGGCGACGGCGUAUCUGCUGGGGACGGCUUGUUUGGCCAUCGGGAGCUGUGAGUGCCGCGACCAAAGCAGCUAAUUGGUCGUUGGUCGUCUUUUGGACUUCGUCUUGACGAGCAAGUCGAGCCAUGAUAGAGCUCAUAAAAUCUGCGGCGAUGGGUGGCGCGGCUUCGGGCGUAGGGGUCGGUUCUCCUCCCGGAGCGCCGAAGGUGGCGUCGUCUUGAACCAUGUAUAUCUAGAACGUUACUUUAGUCAGCCCCACGGUGGGCGCCAAUUGUUUGAAUGAGAUUCAGUCGACUAAAAUGAAAGAAGUCAGAAAUAGGAUGACUAAAGACGUUUUAUUAGAUUUGAACCGAAGGGUUACAAGAGUGACAGGAAAGAGCAACAAGAUCAAAGAGCAACAAGAUCAAAGAGAUCGUCUAAAACCCUAGAUCUAGCCUCUUUGUGUGUUCAAUAGUCAAAAGUCCUCUUCUUGUUGCUUCUCCUACCCCUUUUAUAGGUCUCCUGCCCUUGAUGCCCUAAUUUCGUACCUCUUUGGGCCUUGAUGCGAGAGGCCGAGUAUGCGGGCCUGGACAAGGUUCCCUCCAAGCCGGGUACUUUUGGUCGGCUUACUCGACCGGCUAAAAGUACUCUAAGAUCGAGCCGAUACGUUUAGCCGCCGAGCUGACCAAACUGAUCCAGCUUGCUGGAUUAGGGCCUGUUAUUCGAUGGGCCUUGUGGAGGGAUCUAAUCCGUGGAGGGAUGUAAUCCGUCUCCUACAAUUACUUACAUAACAAUUCAUACGAAAAUUAUGCGUGUGUGGUCGGAUGGUAUAGUGGGUUUGAAAAGAUGUUAAAUGUUCGGGGUUUGAAACGUAGGCCACCAUACGAACAUGGUAUAUAGGUUAUUCUUUAUCAUUUAAAUAUUCAUAUAUUAGUUAGUUUUUUCUGUAUAAUUCUAGUUUUUUUUUUUGAAUAAAUUGUAUAAUUCUAGUUUACAUUGUAUCAUUUAGCUACUUAUAUAUUUUCUUACAAACUCUUACAAAUCAAUUUAAAUUAGGUUUAUUUCUAAAACCACAUUUGGCUCUCUCUUAUUAAACCAUACUUUUUAAUAUUUAUUAUCACUACAAGAAAUAUGUACAUUCUUAGCUCACGAAAAUGUUAUAAUAUGGUUUUUAUAGCAUUUUCUGUUAUGCUAUGUCAUCGGCAGCCAUCAUAGGUCUUUAUGAUAGCAUUUUUUAAACGCUACAAAAUAUAAAGAUACGAUAUCAAUACUUGAAUGUUGUUAUUAUAUUUACUAUAACACUAAUUUUUUUGUUAUAAAUUGAUUAUAUUUUGUGCUAUGAUAGAUUUUUUUUACAAUAAACCAAAAAUAAUUAUAAUUAAAAAUAAAAUAAUUAAAAAUUAAACCGGAAUUUUGUUUUAUAAUUAGAAAUAAAAUAAAUUUUAUUUAUGAAUUAAAUUUAGUUUACGAAUAAAUUCUGGUUUACAAAACUAAACCAUAAAUUAAAAACUAAAGUAAAACAACCACAAUUUUCCCAACUUGGUUUACACUAGACCAAACCUAAAAAAAAUCUAAACCUAAAAAAAAGACUCCAGCCGCCGUAGCUUCCCCUUCUUCUUCCACCAUCAAGGUCUUCAACCACUAUCCCGUCAAGGUCUUCUUUCACAACCGUAGUGGUGAUGACGAGCGCGUCGGUGGUGGUGGUGCUGCUGCUGGUGAAGAUGGGAACGAGCUAGAGACCGACCGUCGCGUCUUCUUCAUUCUCUGCAUCUCCGAGCUCUAUAUCUUCUCUCUGUUCCACCACUUCGCUUGGUCUCAGCCGCACCACCAUGGCCAGUGGCCACCACUUCGCUUGGUCUCCGUUGUGGUGGUGGUGUCGGACGGCGAUGGUGGUGAUGAGCGAUGGUUGUGGUGGUGACGAGUGACGGUAGUGAGAAGGAGAAGUUUAGUUUGAGAUCUAUGGAAUGAAAAGAUUGUAAAGACCUCGUGAGAAAGAGAAAAUAAAAAUUAAGUGAAUAAUAUCCAUUAGAUUGAAAUCUAUCAACGGUGGAGAUUAAUAUUUUAGUUAUCCUCACCACUAUGAAUUGGUUUUUUUUAUUGGUCAAGGCUUUUCCUUCUUUCUUUUUUUUUUAACACAAGUCAAGGCUUUUUCCUCUUUGUUUUUUUCUUUGUUAUACUCUAU